UUUGAGGGUUGGACCUCUAAAUUUUUUUACGGGUUUAAGGGUUCUAGUCUACGCCGUUUUUCCGAUGAAAACUGUAAAAAAACGGUUAUUUUUAAGGGUUUGAGGGCUUUACUAAAGAUGCUCUAAAAGCGUUUUUUAUACUAGUGUAGUGUCAAAAACGUUUUUAUAUUAUGAGACGAAAGAAAUAAUAUAUGCACACACACUCAACCAUACCAACACUGUUAGUUCCUCUCUUUUUUAGAAAUACACUGUUAGAGAUUAUUGUUUUGAGGCAAUACACUGCUAGAGAUGCCACAAAGGAAGAAGAGAAAAACAUUUUUCAUAAGUCGGGCCGCAUUUGAACAGUGCCAGGCCUUUGACCUAUCACAAACUAGGCCCAUUUCCACCUCCAGGCCCACUCCGCCUUCUUCUCCGCCCCCGGCGCGUUCCUCUAAACCCCCGACCUCCAUGGGCGCCUCAUGGUAGCGCCACCCCACCCCCUCACCCCUACCCCNNNNNNNNNNNNNNNNNNNNNNNNNNNNNNNNNNNNNNNNNNNNNNNNNNNNNNNNNNNNNNNNNNNNNNNNNNNNNNNNNNNNNNNNNNNNNNNNNNNNAUAUACGCCUAGUGAAAUGCAUCUAUCUCCUCUCCUCCCCUUCUUUACUUUUUAUACCAUUUUUAUAUUACCAGUCGAAGACUACUUCAGAAUAGUAGGUCGGGAUUUUCUACCCAUUGACAUAGAUGAUCAAAUAGACACAUAUUUAGUGAGGAAUACAAUUUUAUAUUACCUUCCUUUGAAGAAAGGAGUAAAAAAAUGUUGGUAGAAUUUAUAGAGCGUAUAGCCCAACUGGUAUCUAAACACAAUGACGUGAAAACCGUUUACUUUCACAAUUUCUCACGAUUCGAUGGUAUUCUCUUAAUGAAGUUUUUAGCAACUCAUAUGGUCGAGUACUCCAUUAAACCUCUGAUGAGGAACAAUAAGCUUUACCAGUUAUCUGUUUCUAGGAUUACUCCAUCUGGGCGGAAUCAAUUGUUGUUCAAUCUACGAGAUUCCUACACUCUACUCCCUAAUAGUCUAGAAACAUUGGCUAAGACUUUAUGUCCGCACUUAGGUUCAAAAGGGUCAAUAGCACAUGACGAGGUUCAAGUGUCUUCUCUGAAGGAUAAUAGGGCCCAAUUGUUGGAUUAUAUGGAACAAGAUAUCCGUCUUUUAGCUGGUGUGAUGCUUCGGGCUCAAUAAAUUUAUUGGAAAAGGCUUAUGUUGUUUGUCCUACUACUAUUACUCGCCCAUUCUUGCCAUACAAAAAGAAAAAUAAUACACUACUUUUCCCAACGGGGAAAUUUUUGGGUGUAUAUUACAGCGAAGAGCUGAAGUAUGCCCGCGAUUUGGGUUACCAGAUUAUACCACUCAGGGGUUACUUGUUUGAGGAGAUGAUUAGUCCUUUCGAAAGCUUUGUGUCAGACCUCUUCGCCAGCAGACAAGAAGCUAAGAAAAGUGGUGACGAUGCUAUGGCAUAUGUUUACAAGAUUCUCAUGAACUCGCUAUACGGUAGAUUUUUUAGAAAUCCGGAAAGUACUAUAACGGAGGUAUGCAAAAAGGAACCAUAUGAGUAUUUGAUACAGAACUCCAAUUUCAUCUCAGGUGACAUGCUAAGCGAUCAUUACUAUAUGGUCAGUUAGAAUAGCAAAACAGGACAUGUUGACAACUCAUCUGACUGGAAUCUUCCUACUAACACAGCUGUUCAAAUCUCAGCGGCUAUUACAGCAUGUGCUCGUAUUCAUAUGUACCAAUAUAUUAGCAGACCUGACUGUUACUACACAGAUACAGAAGGAGCUAUUCUAGGAAAUCCUCUUCCUGAAGAUGAAAUCUCAUCUAUGGAAUUGGGUAAGUUAAAACAGGAGCACAUUGUAAAGAAUGCAUACUUCUUAGCACCAAAAGAAUGCAUACUUCUUAGCACCAAAAAGUUAUACGUUACUUACACCCACUGGUGAUAUAAUUCUAAAGCACAAGGGUCUAGAAAGACUUGGUUGAUUAUGAAUGGUUUGUCUCACAAUACGCCGAUCUGUCUCGAACUAAGCAGGGCACCGUGGAAUCUUCAUUCAGAAUAGAUUGGCACACACUGGAAAUAGCUAAAAAAUGCUUACAAGUUAACAUUGGAAUCCAAGUAGAUAACAAAAGGAACCCUGUGUUUGAUAAUAAAAAUAAAUGGGUUGAUACUGAACCUAAGUAUAUAAUAUACUUUGGUGGAGAAGAAAGCACUAUUCUAAAAUAUGAAUGAAAGAAUUUGCAGGAGAUAAAUGCUAGUAUGCAGUCAGAAAUAGCUAUACUUCAGAAUAAUACAAAAGAAAGGGAUCUGCAUAUAUCACGUCUGGAGUCAGAAAUGGCUAUACUGCGUAAGAAAGAUCAAGAAAAAGAUCAGUAUAUUGCGAGUCUGGAGUCAGCAUUUUAUAAACUGCGUGAAGAGAUAAUCUCGAAGUCAGCUGAUGAUAAGCAUCCAGAGGAAGCUGUUAUGCACCCAGUUACACCACCCCCAAUGGUCAACAAAGAGGUGCCCCAACCUACCAACAAGAAUCCCAAAGAUUAUACCUCUAAUAUAUAAAUGACCCCUAAAGAUAAUAUAACCUUUACAGAUAAUCAAAAUAAGGGGUCUAAGAAGCCGAAGGGGAAGAAAAAGAAAAAGAAAAAAAGAGAGUGCCGAUUCCCUGUAGCAGGAUCGAUUGAACUGAUGCCUGUGGCAGCACUAUGAGUUUGGUGUGAGCGAAGCUAGCCUAGGCAACUCAACAAAAGUCAAGAUGGAUGAUGGCAUGAUCUAGCAAAGCAGAAAUUACUUAAUCCCAAUAUUAGUACAAUUAGAUACAACCCUGUUCUCUUUGUCUUCGUUCAUUCUUCAUUUUCAUGCAAUUAUGAAUCAUGUUUCUACUUAUUCUCAUAUGGGUAACAUCUUUAGAAACUAAAAGUUAGUACUGUCUUCCCAUAUACAAGUGGCAUAAACAAUCCUUUGACGAACUUUCUGGUUAACAUAGAAUCUAUGAGUUUUUUCUUCUAAUUACUACUACUAACAUUAUUCAAUCUGGUAUCCAAGAAUUUAUUAAGCUCAUCCCGCAAGCACAUGUACACAUCUUGGAUUUUACCGUCUGAAGAUGGAAGAAGAUUCGUUCUCCUACCCAUUUCUAAGUUAAGCAAGAGAUAACUCAUAAUUUGAUAUGCACUCGCACUCGCAUCUUGGGUCACUGGAACCUGAUGAUAAUUACUCACUCCUUCAUCCUGAGAAAGGAUCUUGGCUAUGAAAAAAAAUGGAUCACUAGCUUGCACAGCAAAUUGAAUGAAACUUUCGUCCGAAGUAAACAUUUCAGUCUGGUGUUCGUUAUACCAUUUAAGGGCAUCAUCUAAGUUCGAGAACUUUUGAUACUUAAAGGCUGCAGCACAUGCUAAGUGUUGACUGAGAUUCUUUUUUUCCGACAGGUGGUUUUGUGCUUGAGGUUGAGGAUGAUCGGCAGAAAAGAGUAAUAAACUUUUUGACAAAUCACGCUCAUGAAAAUGCAAUACACCUGAACGGUAGAUUCUACCACGGAAGUCCAUGAAUGCUGGCAAAUAGAAUUGAUAACCUUCGUAUGCUGACGCAAGUCUUAUUAAAAAAUCUUCAUAACUAGCCUGCUGCACCUGUUUUCAAACGCAUUUCCAUCUAAUCUAGUUGGGAUUUAGGUUCCUGCUAGGUGAGAUAUUUAUUUUUAGACAGCUGGAGGUACGAAUUACCCGAUUGUGAACGCUUCUUACUCGCAGAAAUAAUCCCAUUGUGUCCACGUAUCCACACGAUUGGUUUCUGAACCAGAAGUUCAUUCAUUUUUGAUCGAGAAACAUGGCGCAGGUGUCAGAUUGGAGUGAUUAUUGAUACGUGGUAUGAGCGAACAGAAUGAUUGGGGUUUGGGGUAGUAACACCAAAAGAAGCGUUAGUUGUUGUCUCGGAUUGAGAAGCAGUGGCAUCUUUAGCGGUCAAUGCCCACGAAGGAAGGUCUUUUCUCACUCAUUAUUUAGAUUAGUUAGCCGUGUGCACCUCUUCUUUUUUCCUUUCAGAAUAGAAGAUGGGGUUGUACCUGUCAUCUCUUGAUACCAGUAUUCUAGCUUAUGGUUCCUUUGUCGGUUUCCCCUGACCAUACAUAUCUACUUCGGCGUGUAAAGAAGCUGCUCCGCUGAUUACCCACCAACAGAUGCUUUUGGCGCUCCUACCUUUUCCCUGGGAUGAGUCUCCAAAGCGGGUCACUAAUAGCUUCGGUGUGCAGGAAACUAUGGCCACACCCUUUCCUACUCUAAAGCCGCUGCCCUUACUAAAUAGUGAAGCCGUGCAUACGUUUCCUCACUCAAUCCGUCUGGUAGCAGAAGCCCUUUACCUAGGGUAGGGCUUCACGAGGUUUAAGUUUAAGAUUAUUGAUAGAAUCAACGAAUCUCACUUCUAAUGGGCUUUACUACACUACCAGAGGAGUACAAGUUUGAAACGGGCAGCAGCUGCACACUACCUAUGCAAUAAAUCAAGACGAAAGCAGGGCGCUUAGGACACUGGAUUGGAAACUUAGACUGCCUUCCCUCUUUACUCGCUUGUUCCACUUGGUAUUCACAAUCAAAGGUCUCCCCAACCAUUAUAACAAGAACCAACCGUUGGAUAGGGCCACCGCUCGAUGGGUUGGAUCCUGCUCACCACGCGGAAAACAACCAUACAAUUUAGUAAUUCCGGGGCUUACUAUUCAAGGGCAAAUCAAGUAGAAUUGUGUAUAUAGAUGAAAAAGGAGAAUGGCGAAGAAAGUCAAUUUGUCCAAAGCACGGUGCCGACCUCCUUCUUUUAUACUAUACGAACGAGAAUUCUCAUUUCUUGUGAAUGGGCCCAAUUUCCCUUUUGUUACUGGUCGGGACGACCUAAAUCCUAUAUCGGUUUCUCAAGUGCCAAAUAGAAUAGUUCUUUUCCAAGUUUGGGUAGGAUUCCCGACACCAAUCACAUCUGUAAGUAGCAAAGAUUUAAACAAAUAAUGAGAGGCCUUUAUCUAAUUAAGUUGAAUAAUACACAGAUUGUAAUAAAGGAGCGUGCUAACUGUCACAGAUAGCGUGGAGAUAAACAGCACGUACCGACCAAGUGUCGCGGUAGGUUGGCUGGUGCAGGCAGGUUUGAUAACUCAGUAAGAGAGUAUGACCACUUUGGGAAAUCCCCUAGCUUUCGUCCCUCACUGUCUACAGCGUAGCCGUCAUGGAACCCCAGUGUCUUCGUCAAGCAUUCCACUCUAGUUUUCGCUACCAGUGUUUCAACAACACACAAUACCGCCGGCCCCCAUGCCACACAUGUCAAAUUAUAGAAUAGAUCUCGAGUAGGGACAAGAAGACAGCACGCUAAAGCGAUCGAAAUGGUUGUACAUGACUAGUCGUCUCCUGCGGCUCGCGAUAACAUGAAUAUCUCUCAUUCUCUUCCAUUCUUAGGCCUUCAUAAAAUAAGACAAAUAUAAAGCAAUCGAGCCAAAGAGAAAAUCAUGAAGCAUCUAAGGUUUCCUUAUCUUUUGACAAUCUAGCUCCUCCGGAUACGAUCAUGCUUAAUGUUACUGGCGCAUGUUAAUGUCUUAAUCUCAUAAUAGACGAAAGAACGAUAGGGAGUUGGUAUCAAAUCCAUACCGAUGAUGAAUGCAUUCCAUUCCAUCGGUUAAGUUGGUAUCCUCAGGAAAAAACAAAGCAGCGGAGUACCCAUUUUUACAUGAGAAAGAAAAUGAGCUGAUUUGAAGCUCUGCUCUUGUUAUGUUGAACAAACGCCCUGCGGGGCACGCCCUCCGGGGGUUUACGCCAGGAAUUCCGUAGAAGAGAGUCUUGGUAAGAAAUAAAUAAAAAAGGUACAGUCUACCGCAAGUAAAAAACCCAUUGCUUCUAUCGCUGACGGGGCCUUUUAGGCUAUAUAAAAUGCCACCAUCGUAAAGGAGGAUUCGAAGAAGACGGCAUGACCGGGAGAGAGACGCAAGGAUGGGACUGGAACGAUUGAGAAGCACUCAUUUAUCACGGAUGAAUAAAAAUAUGCGUAUAGUAAAGACAUACGCCCCAUAUCUGCGGAUGAUAGGCUCUAAUUGCAUGUGACCAGUACGGGAACCGAGUUCAUGUCUUUCCGGGAGUAGAGCUUGCGUUAAACUUGCUUCAAUGGCGAUGAAAAUAGCUCAGUUGGUAGACGAUGUCAUGUGCCAGCUUGUUUUCUCGUUGAAGCAUUCUUAGACUGAUAGCUAGGGAAGUCCCAUUUUGCAAGGGCUCGCGGAGUAGCCACAUAUAGAAAUUAUCAAGUACCAACCAAAUAGUUCUUCCAAGGCUAAAGGCAGGCUGACCCGCUAAUUAUGUCGUAGGUAGGGAUCUCGUUUGAAAAAAAUCGUAUAACAAUGAAGCGAGAAAACGUAUGCGCCCGCAAACGGCUUUCGAGGCGAUCCUGACCAGCAAACGAACUCAAAUUCAAGCGACCCUCAAAGCGAGGGGAAGACCCCCAUUCUUUUUGUCGAAAUCUUACUGUACUUAAAAAGAACAAUGUUGUUACUUCUUCAAAUCUCUAUUGUGUAGGUGUUCAGUCCCAGGUAGGAAUAAGUCAAGGCUGUUUCUUGUUAGUCUGUCUCUUUCUCUUUAAUAGCAGGUUCUUGGGUAAAAAACCCAGUCACUUUAGAAAGUCCCCCUUUUUUUAGGGAGCAGAGCUGAAUAAAAAUGGGAAAUUCCAAUGAAUGAUAGAGAUUUGAUUCUCUAUGGAGAUAUCACGUCCAGUGAUAUACGCUUUUAUCAAGAAACUCAAACUAAUAUGUCUUUUUUUAGUCUCUCAUCAACUAGGUCAGAUGCGGAAAGCGCUCCGCCGGAGGCUUUCGACUUGUUUAUGAGGAUUUGUGCAGAAUGCACAAGAUUAGUGGAGCAAGAAGGGAAACAGAUACCCGCACAAUGGGACAUGCCUGACCUUCUUCGGGCUGUGAACGAAAACAUAAUAGUAAUGCCAGACUUUCUAAGAGAGACUUAUUAUGAUGCCAUGUUACGUGGACCUCAUAGUUGGUUAUUCCUUGAUGUUAGCAACUGGAUUGAUUUAGUCAACUACGCCCCCCAAGUAUGAAGGGGCGGGUGUUGGGAGAUUUUAAGUUUGUCUAUGAAGAGCUAAUCUAAUUGUAUUUUUUUCUAGAAUGGAUUUCUUAUGUGGAAUACUAAUGGAUAGGGCCUCGUUGCUAAGUGCUACAAGAUCUAGUGCACUGGAACUCGUGGUUAUGGACCCGAAUCCUUNNNNNNNNNNNNNNNNNNNNNNNNNNNNNNNNNNNNNNNNNNNNNNNNNNNNNNNNNNNNNNNNNNNNNNNNNNNNNNNNNNNNNNNNNNNNNNNNNNNNUCAUGACAUUGUAGGUGCUUGCGAUGGGACGGAUGCGACUUCCCUCAUAAGUAAUGGGUGGCAUAGCCCGUAGCAGAAGUCCCCUUUUUUAUCCAUUUCUUUAUUACCCCAGAGGGGCCAACCCUGGUGGGACCGAGAGAAAGAAAGGACGGGGGGGCGACCAUGCAUGGCACUUCUCGACCGUGUCUCCGAGGGACAGUUGAACGAGCGACUCAUGAAUGCUGCCGGGUCGGACGAGCCAAUAACUCGAACGUGUUCGGUCAGUUUUUUGAGCAAGAAUCACAGCGUUACCUUACCUUCACCAUGAUACGGACUCCAAGUUCUUAUGGCAGAGCACGAGGAGUUUCCUUCAAUAUGAUGAUGAGAAUGGAAACCAGAAGCACGACUGGGUCUUCGUAGUCCGAGAUCAUACUUAUAUAUCAGUCACAGUAACGUAAGCAUGAGACUUUUUGGUAGUACCGGUGAACCAGAUGGCCGCGGCGAGGGAAUCUGGGACGGAGGACUCGUAAUAUCUCUAUAGAUCUGGCAAAAGCGAAAGACCCCUAACGUCAGGGGCUGACCACUGAGCUCACUCAGGCCUCGCUGGGCGGGCCAGAGUGGGUGCGAGCUGGAAUUGCCAUAGCUUAUGGUUAGAGCAAUAGGAAAGGGCCCAGCAGAGAGAACAGUCAGGAUAACGAGCGCGGAGCCCACUUGGCAGGCGGCAGGAGCAGCGGGCAAGUGCUUGCUUGGUAGGCCAACAGCCCUGUGAACCGAGCGGGGCACUCGACGAAAGGGGGGCACGCUGAGCAAGUACGCAAAAUUGGCCCCGCGGAGCUUUCAAAAAGAAAAGCAAGGACCACUACGGGAGGUCGAACCACGGACCGGAGGUAGUAGAACGUGAUCCGCACCGGUCAAUAUUGGAUCAAACAAUAGGGGACCGUAGCACUGACCUUUUUUUUCAAGACAAUAGGUACUGUUCCCUACCGAGACAAGGGACACUCUCAACGGAUCCUCCACGCGCUGGGCAUACCAUAGUUCUUCCGUGCGUCUUUAUCGUGGCGGAAACAGAACAAGAGGGAAAGACCCAGCCGACUCGCCCAGGGCUCGAGGGCGAGCCAUACGAGAGUGAGUCGAAUUCUGUUUACGUUCUCGGUUUGGGUUCGGGCCCCUCUCGAUCUUUUGCGUAUAAGGGAAGGGGGAAGGAGUCUAAAUCUAUGGACAUUAAUGAACCACCAUUGAUGGACGUUGCACAUGACACGAGAAAUUCGACUCGACGGUCCGGUGCUAAUAGAAGUCGCUUACUCUCCGUCUAGCGAAGGUGCCAGAUCCUUAAAGUAAAGUAUCUAUCAGCCUAGUGUACCAACCACGUGGUACGACGGGCACUCAAAGACCUGGCGAAUGAGGGCCCACCCCACCCAAGAGCGCUUAUGUCAUAUGGGAACUCUCGGCUGGAAACAAUCCUUAUGGUUUUUAUAUCCGGUUAGAAUAAUAAGAAAGAAUCAAAGUCCAGGUUGGUUGGUGAGCCUAGUGAUAGGAGACUAUCUAGCUUGGUUCGGAGAGCACUUGUUGGGUUUAAGAUUCGUUUUUUGCUAAAUGUUACGGCCUAAAUGCUGAACUAUUGACCCUACUCAGCCAUCUCUCCACCGCCUAAUCCUUAUUUUACUCCUACAAAUAGAACAUAGCCAUAUAAAAAAUAAAAAUAUUUAUUAACCUCUAGAAAGAUAUCAGAUACAAGUUCCUUUUCGAUAUAUCUCUGUAUACUGUAUACACGGAUACAGGAUCCGCUAUACCCGCUUGUGAAAUAAAGACUAAAUAACCUCCUCUCACCCCCAUAUCCAAAUAAAAAAGAGGUUAAGUAAUAAAUUUUAAUUAAAGAGAAGAAUCGAUCACUUACUUCGCUCGCCCUUUUUUGAUCGGUUUUUUUAAUGCAAAUAGAUUCAAUCUAGUAAUUUCUUUUAGAUUAAGUCUAUCCUUCGCAAACCAACUGAGCUAUAAAGCUUUUUUUGUUGAAGUGGCAGACACAAGAUAAAUAAUGUGAAACCGGAUCUCUCUUACUACAGUGGGAGGUGUAGGCCUUAUUUGCAGCAUCAGGUGCAACAUUAUUUCCCCCUGGAGAGCCAGCGGGUCCCCACGCUGGUGCAUUCGGGUAGAGCGGUCAUUGGUAUUUUUGUGUGGAGGGAUUGCCGGUAGUUUAUUUUCCCGUGUAUAGGUAAUUAUCUCGCAUUUAUGUGUGGCAUUAUUUUUGUGUUGCAACCCCACAUGUCUAAUAUGUUUUCGAGGUAGAAAAAGAUUUUUCUAUGAAUUUAGCUUUAGCUUUUGAGUAAGUUAGUUCGCACGAUAUCUUGCCGUGAUGCCCUUUUGUUUAAUUCGUAGGAUUUAUUCCGUGCUUCGUUUGAUCAAGUUGUCAACUAGAGAGUUGAUCUUGGGUGUUUAGUCUAGCCCCUGGUAUUUUUAGUUGCAAUAGAAAUGCAUGUUUAGGUGUGGUUUGCUUGCUCUCAAGUUGCUAGAAAUAGUGCUGAUUUGGAGGUGCUGAAAUAUUUCUAAGUCUGCAAUCUGUUAUAUUUUGUUGUUGUCUUGUCUUGCUUGUAUCUUGUGAUCUGUAGCUCUUUUGAGGUUGGUGCAAUGGAGUUAGUUGUAGCCCUUGUGUUUCUCUAGCAUGUUGUGAAUUUUCAUGCCAUUUGGAGUCCUGUAGCUAUAGGUUUUGAUGCUGUUAAUAUGGCUUAAGAUCGAAAACUGCACUUUCAUGAAGUGUAAUUUUCACUAAUUCUGAAAUAGUGUGUGGGAUGUCAUUUUGUGUCUUCUUUCCCUAGUGAUCCAUGAUGCCAUGCUAGUUGUUGUUAGUUGUUUGUAGUAGUGCUUCUUGCCCUCUUUCAUGUCAUGCCUUGCUUGAGUUUAUCGGAGUUGUGAAGCCCGUAGUUGUGGGGCGUAGAAAAUGCCAUGUGGCUGAUUUUGGCAGAUUGUUGUGUUUUCUUGUUUUGCUCGUAGGUUUUGAUCCGUAGCUCCGAUUUGAUCGUGUCCUACAUGAAACUUUCUUAGAAUCUCGUGUAGUUUCAUUUUCUCUUGCGGGUAGUAUGUUUUGAAGUGCUCGUGACCGUCGUUGCACACAUAUUACAUUCAUGCCAUCAUAUCUUGCGGUGCUUGUAUCUUUUGAUCCGUAGUUCCGUUGGAGAUGUUCUUUAUGUGUAGAUUGCUUGAAAUGUCGCAUAGAAUCACGUGAAUCUAUUUUUUUUUCUGUUUAACAACUAAUUAAAUGUGUUAGUUCAGAUCUGGUCAGAAUUGCAAAUUAACGCGUGGGGUCAUCUCGGAGAUGCUAUAAGUAGUUUCCGACCUCAUUUAAAAUGUCUAGAUAGGUAGUUUAAUUGCGCUUCAUCUCUUGCCAUGUUUAACCACAUUUAAUAUUGCCGUGUACCUAAUCGGGAUAGAACUAAAUAAUUAAACGUGGAGUUUCGUCAAUAUGCAACUCGUUGCAUAUUGAACUUCACUUAAUGUGUAGUGUUUGAUUGUGUGAAUUGUCUUGCCGUGACUUGUUUGCAUUCAGCCUAUCCAUGCAUCAUAUGUGUUGUGCAUCAUGUGGUGUAUUCGUGUGUUGAUGCUUGUUUCCGGUUUGCUUCGUCUCGAUAGAGUUCCACAAGUGUGUCGGAUGUGAGGACCCGUUCGACUACAUCGGUUCGUCUGCUUCACGGAGGCAUUCUUCUUCCAAGCGGGAUCUCAGGCAAGAUGACCAUUUCCCCAGAUACCAUUACUAUCAUUGCCAUGCUAGUUUUAUCGCUUCUAUCGUUAUGUCUCGUUGCCUACCACAUGUUAAAUAUCAGCCUCUCAACAAUGCCAUAAAAACCAUCAACCUGUUUAACCUAGCAAACCACUGAUUGGCUAUGUUACUGCUUGCUUAACCCUGUGUUAGCGUUGCUAGUUGCAGAUGCGGAUACUUCCAUGUGAAAACAUGGGUUCUUUGUUAUAUCACCAUAUUAAAUGCUAUUUAAUUUAACGCACCUAUAUACUUGGUAAAAGGUGGAAGGCUUGGCCUUUCUAGCCUGGUGUUUUGUUCCACCUUUGCCCCCUUAGUUUUUGGCUACCGGUGUUAUGUUCCAUAAUUGAGCGCUCCUAACACGAUCGGGGUUGUUAUGGGGACCCCCUUGAUAAUUCGUUUUAGAUUAAGACUGGUCUGGCAAGGCCCAACUUUGGUACUACAUUUGCCUAAUAACCUAAUAAUAAUGCAUAGGGACCCGCCGACACCCGAGGAAAUUUAAUCAACCCCCGGGCCAGUGCUCCUCAUGAGUGUUGGUCCAAAUUGGCAGACUACGGGGCCACCGCGGGGCAACCCAAGGUUUGGUAUCUCCUAGUGUGACCCAUCCGUCGUGUCCUGAAAACUAGGUACGCGACUCCUAUCGGGUUCGUCGACACGUCGGGCGGCCUUGCUGGAUUAGUUUUACCUUUGACGAAAUAUCUUGUGCAUCGGGAUUCCGGUGAUGCUUUGGGUAAUCUCAGAGUUGAGGUUUUCCACUAGGGAAUCCGACGAGAUCGCGAGCUUCGUGAUUGAGGAUUUCUAUGCGGCUUGUGGUAAUUUGUGAUGGACUAGUUGGAGCACCCCUGCAGGGUUAAAUCUUUUCAGAAAACCGUGCCCGCGGUUAUGUGGCAACGUGGAAACUUUGUUUAACACUUGUUCUAGAUAACUUGAAGUUAACUUAAUUAAAAUGUGCCAACUGUGUGCGUAACCAUGAUUGUCUCUUUCGUGAGUUCCUUCUCCGAUCGAGGACACGGUGGGGUUAUGUCUGACGUAGGUAGGUGUUCAGGAUCAUUCAUUCUAUCACCAGUAGUUCACGUCCGUUAUGCGUCGAUCAUCCCCCCUCUUAUUUCUUGUACUCGUAAGUUUAGCCACCAAAUAUAUGCUUAGCCGCUGCUGCAACCUCACCACUUAACCUUACCUCACCCAUUAAGCUUUGCUAGUCUUGAUACCUUUGGAAAUGAGAUUGCUGAGUCCCCUGUGGCUCACCGAUUACUACAACACCAGUUGCAGGUACAGGUAAAGGUUACUUGACGCGAGCGCAUUGAUUGUUCAUUUGGUGUUGCUUCUUCUUCUUCUUCUUCAUCGAUCUAGGAUGGGUUCCAAGCCGGCAGCCUGGGAUAGCAAGGAUGGACGUCGUUCUUAUAUUUCUCGUUUGUUUUCGUCCGUAGUCGGACCCUGCUUUUACUCUUGAUGAUUAUGUAAUAUACUGAUGUGACUCUGAUGUAGCUUGUGGCGAGUGUAAGCCAACUCUAUAUAUAUCUCUUCUUUUCAGUACAUGUACUUGUAAUGAUAUCCAUUCUUGCGAGACGACGAGAUGCGCUUCUAUCCCUGACGAGGCCUUCGUGCCAAAUUAAGGAUAGGGCCGCAUCUUGGGCGUGACACCAACGCAAGGCACCUCUCCGCCGACCGGGUCCCGAUCCCGCCGGUGCUGACGAGCGGCCGUGCGCGCCGUGACGAGAUCGAACCUCGUCGCCGCCUCCUCCAUACGACCUGUACUAUGACGACAGGUACGCCGUCGACUCCACCCUCUUGGACAAGUGGCCCAGGGACGAGCACAACGUGCGACGCGCCUCCUACUUCGCCGGAACUAUCUCGGGGCCGCGGCGGGCACGGGAGGUGCGCGGGCGUACACGAGUGCGCGGCCUCACGACCACGCCGUCACCUUCCCCGUCUCCGUCACCACCUCCACCUCCUCGCAUGACGGAGGAGGAGGAGGCCCGGCUCAUGCAGCGUGUCAUGAAGGAGUCCAUCAUGACACAUGAUGAACGCCAAUGGACGGGCCUAGAGGACGCGAUGGCCCUCUCUGCGGCCGGCGACGUCGCCAUCCCCGAGCAGAUGGAGGAGGAGGAGGUGAAGGUGGACGCCCCGGCGGCCGCGUUCCCUACGAAUCUGGUGGGCCAGCAAUGGAGCUGGUCGUGCACCGAACCGGAGAUGGCGCAGACAGUGGGGGCGUGAACUGGAGCCCCACGCUGCCACGGUCACCGGAGCGGGACGCCUCGCCACGGGAGGAGGUGCUGCAGGCACCUGCCACCUUCCAGCCCGCCCCCGCGCACGAGGGACCGCCGACCCACCUCUGGACGCCGCCGGCCUACGUCGACCUCGUCAGCGAUGGCGACGAAGACAACAUCGACGGACAGUGAAGACGGCGACGGCCACGGCAUCGACGGGAUUUUUGAAAAGUUAAUUAUGUCAAACUCGGCAGUUUAUGGCCUUGAAUACUGGGCCGUUUUUUAUGUUAAUGUUAUUACGUUUUAAGUUUUUUAACUGCGUUUAUUCACUUUUCAGUUAAGUUUUUCUAUUUUUUUUUAAUCACGUUCAACACGGACAUGAUUUGCGAUGCGACCGCGCGGGCGGUGCACGCACGACCCAACGGGCAGAGGCGGACUUGGACGAACUCAUUGCCGUCCCAAACGGACAAAAUCCGACCAAACCGGACGUACGUUUGGGGUCGUGCGGUGGAGUUGGCCUCCCCGGUCGUGGGAACAAUCUUCAUCAGUUGGGUUUGUUUAGGGGGUGUUUGUUUCGAGGGACUUUUUGGUGUAGGGACUAAAAAAAGUCCCAAAAAGUCCCAUGUGAAACAAACGGGGGGGGGACUUUUAGGGACUAAAAGGGGGUAUUUGGGACUAUUUGGAGAAGUCCAUGUGGGAGGGUCUUUUGGGACUUUUUCCUACCCUGCCCCGCAUCGCAUCGCAUCUCCCAGCCUAUCCGCUCGCUCAUCCUGCCCAGCCGCUCGAGCUCGCGUCUCCCUCCCAGCCGCUCGCGCUCGCGUCUCCCACCAGCUGCCGCCGCCAGUGCCCUCGUCCCUUCCCCUGCCGCCGCCUGUGCCCUCGGCCACCGCCGCCAGUGCCCUCGGCCGCCGCCGCCAUGGAUGAAGACGACGAGACGCAGCUCCCCUCUCCAUUCCACUCGCAUCAACCGGCAUCCCACGGCUCCUCCGCCGGCGGCAAUCUGAGGAGGGGAUUCGGUUUUUUUGGUCUGAAUAGCAACUUCGAUGACUUCCCCGAUUUGGGCUCGUACCAGCAGCUCCUCCUUGACGAACAUGCCGUUCAUGGUUCUCCUUCGGUUGGCCCUGGUCGUGGUAGGGCUGUGUCCCAGGGAGGAGGAGGCCUGACCCGGUCUGUGAGCAUCGGCAGCGCUCACAGACGUCCAUUCGUCGCACCUGCCGCAGCUUCCGUUGACGGAGGCGUCAGAGGGCGUGGGAGGCCCUUGUCCCAGGGCUUGGUUGAAGAGGUGGUGCAUGAUGAAGAAGCUGUACUAGUGUUCUUUUCUUUUCGAAUAUCACUAUGUAAUGGACAUGUAGUGUGCGACCUUGUUAAAUGAUCAUUGCAUUUUAUGUGUUUCAUAAUUUUUGUUGGGUGAAGAGGUGGUGCAUGAUAAAGAAAUUUGUACUAAUGUUUGCAUGUUUCAGGAUGAUGGCAGCAGUGUCGAUGAGAGCAGCAGUGAUGAUGAAGCACUGAUGUUCUUGAUGCACCAAAAAAAAGAAGAGAAGAAUGACGCAGAUGGCGUGCAUGGUUGGUAUGUAUUACUUGGACUCUUACUGUAACAAAGGACCUAGAAGAGUACCAAUACAGACUGGACAUGAUUGGGUUAUGACAACACUAGCCAACAAAACUUCCUGUUACAACAUGUUUAGAAUGCACAAACCAGUGUUUGAGAAAUUGCAUAGUGUGCUUGUUGAUUCGUAUGGUUUGAGGUCCAGCAAAAAAAUGUCAUCAGUUGAGUAUCUAGGCCUAUUUCUGUGGAUAGUAGGUUCCCCACAAUCUUUAAGACAAGCAGAAAACAGAUUUGUUAGGUCACUGAACACAAUUGUAAGGAAGUUUGAUAAGAUUUUGGCAUGUCUGAUCAAGCUAGCAAAAGACAUUAUCAAGCCAAUAGAUCCUCAGUUCAACACUGUGCACUCAAAACUAAGAUGUACAAAAUAUUCACCAUUUAUGGACAAUUGCAUUGGAGCAAUAGAUGGAACGCACAUACCAGUUGUGGUACUAGUUGCCACUGCUAUCCAGCAUAGGAAUAGACAUAAGGAGAUGAGUCAGAAUGUGAUGUGUGUGUGACUUUGAUAUGAGAUUCACAUUUGUCCUAGCCGGUUGGCCAGGAUUAGUGCAUGACAUGAGGGUCUUCAAUGAUGCCCAAUCCAGAUUUGCUGCAAAGUUUCCAAAACCACCACCUCAAAAGUUCUAUCUUGUCGCCUCGGGAUACCCAAACAGAUCCGGUUAUCUUGCACCAUACAAGGGUUUAACCUAUCAUUUCCAAGAGUACCGUGAUGGCACAGUGCCUAGAGGAAAAAAAGAACAUUUUAAUUUCAGCCAUUCUUCACUUAGAAAUGUCAUUGAGAGGUGUUUUGGAAUCUUGAAGAACAAGUGGAGGAUUUUGUUUCACUUACAAAGUUAUCCACAACAGAAACAAAGCAAAAUCAUUGUGGCUUGCAUUGCAUUGCACAAUUUUAUUAGACAAAGUCAACUAUCCGAUAUAGAUUUUGACUUGUGUGAUGAAGAUGAAAAUUAUGUACCAUUGUCUCUGCCAACGACUACUCCAAGAAAUGAUUCAACCAAUGAGACGGAUAGUGUUGUUAUGAAUCAAUUUAGAGAUUGGGUCGCUGAUGGGUUAUGGUCGUUGAAACAACAAUGAUAUUACUUCGGUUGUUAUGAACAAGUGUCGUUCGAUUCUGUAAUAUUUGCUUAUGAACAAGUGUUGUUUGCUUCUGUAAUCUUUCAUUAUGAACAAGUGUUGUGAACAAGAGUUCUUUGUUUUUGUAAUAUUUGCUUAUGAACAAGUGUUAUGAACAAUUGUUAUUUAAUAAUAUGGUCAGGGGUAACAUGGUCUUUUUACAUGUCAUUUAAUGACCUCUAGUCCUUGUUUAGUCCCUGGAAACAAACGGGUAAGGACUAGGGACUUUUAAAUUGAGACUAAAAAAAAUUCCGGGACUUUUGAAACAAACAGGGCCUUACCAACUUUCCAAUCACCCGGUAAAAGGAGUGAAAGCACGUUCUUGUCAACUUUCCUCGGCCGUCUGAUUCCUAGAGAUGUACGUGUGCCUUCAUCCAGACCGUCCAUGCCUCAUCCCAAUUCCACAAGAAAACGCAGAGUGAGCCAAAACCGUAGUCCAGAUUGCUUCGGUGCGCACAUGGGAUGGGAUGUAAACAUUAUGCACACGUUCAUCUCAUCCAUUUGCAGCUGCAGCCAUCACCACACCAGCAAUGGUGUGGGUGAGCUAGCAAGAAGAUAUCUCGGCUGGGCCAACAGAGAGAUGCCAAAAGCACAGCCCUCAAAUCCGGCAAGAGAAAUCAGCCACUGUUGGGUGCUGUCAAUGGGUCUACAUUCUCCUCAACCUUUUUUCACCACCCCACCCCACACGGUAAAAAUGAACAGCAUCACAGUUUUACCAUGCAUGCAGACAGCAAAACCGUCACCGAGGGCACUGCCGCGGGGGGUCCAACGCCUGGUACAUUUUUACCCGUUGGAGGGGGCAGCGCAGCGCAGGCCUGGAGGAGAGAUCCGAAAUUUUAUUAGCAAGAUCAUCAAAGAGUUUGGGUCGUCCACUGUAUACACAGCAGCACCGUGGCGCCAGUGCUGGAACAGUGCAGUGCAGUGCAAUGCUUGCUGCAGGGCUCCAGUCACUGCCUUGUGAUGCAUGCACUGAUGGCGCCACAUAUUAUUUGUGUACUACGUACCACUACUCUUGAUGCUGGCAGACACGUUUGCUAUGCAUUCCAUGAGUUUGAAAAUUGCUGAAAUGCUUACAAAAAAAAGUGUGAGCUGAAGUGAUCUGCCUAACCUAUCGAUGCUUACCAAAAGAGAUUAGAUGAUUCCAUGAAGGUGUGUCUCUUAAAGGAAUCACGUUUGAAGUGGCAUUCCUGUUUCUAUGGGUCUCCUGAGAUCUUAUCUUGGCUGGCAGUAAAAAACAAUCACCUCUCAGCUCCUAAAUGACAUACAAACCUCUGUAACUAUAUGUGUUCGGUCCAAAGAUAAACAGUGGAAAGAAACUCCAUUUGUUUUUACGAACAAAUCAUGAAUAUUGUGAAGAAAAAAUUGAAAUUCCUAAAUAAAUUUUCCAAGGGCGGACAGUUUUUGAAAAUUUAAACAAAAUGACAAAUGUGGCGCCCCUGGCUUUGGCCCACGUGGUGUUGGCGGCGGCGGGCUCUCCUCUCCCCGCGCGCUCCCCUUCCCAGGGCAGGGGCGACGGUGCAGCUCGGCCUUGCUGCGGUCUGGUGACCCGGCGGCGGGUGAGGUGGCUGCGUUGCUCCUUGGUGGCAGGGCGGCGUGGUGGUGCGGGGUGGCCGCGACGUGCCUCCGACCCAGAUCUAGGCCUUGAGGGGCCCAUCUGGGUCCUAAUGGGCCGGUGCCCGUCGCGGCUGUGUUGUCUUCUGCGUGGUGCUGAGGAGGAGCAGCUUGGAGGGGGGGCGCCGGUGGUGUGCCUACUGCAGCGCAAUGGCGGGUGCUUUACGGGCGAGGUCACAGCCAGGCCUGUGGGCCCACGGGACUGGUAUGCUCUUGCUUUUGCGUCUGGUCGGCUACCGUCGUUGAUGGUGGAGGUUGAGCCCUCCCGUCUGCCGACGGUGCUGCUGCUCCUAGUCCCGGCUCCUUUUCGUCGUUGUGCAGGUUUCUACUUACGGUGCCAUGGUGAGACGGCGUGGGGACCUCAAGACCGUGUUAGUGCAGGGUUAAAGUCGGUCUGGUGGCAGGCUCCAGAGCGCCCGAGGUGCAGGUUGGGAACGGGGGAAACCCCUGUCGGCCCAGCUGACACGGACGCGGUGGCACCUUUGGGUGUCGCCGAACCUUCCUGGAGGGCGUCGGGGGCUGCCCUUCCUCGCGCCUCGUCACGUACCGGGGGGAAACCCUUGACAGCAACGUCGUCAUUGUCGCAAUCCUUCUUUGAGGUGUUAAUGGGUACCGACGCUUUGGAGUCUUUGAGCUUGGUGGGCGCAGCGGUCGCGAGUCCUUUGCGUUUUUGUCGAUCCGCCAAUGUCGGCAUUUGUUUCUUUUGUAUUUUCUUUGUUAUUUAUUUUGGUCAUAAUUGUGUUGUUUUUGCCCCAACACCUAUCGAUGGAUGUUUCUGAUGGUUGCUUUCUAAUACAAAGCGGGGGGAAACCCUUUUUCGUGUCCCAAUGUCUUCUAUGUUUAACUCGCGCUUUCAAGCGAGACAAUAGAAUAGUUUCAUGGGACGAACUCAUGAGUAGCAAUACCAUGUUGAAUGAGCUAGAUCACACAUUAACUAGGUGCGGCUGGCCUUCAAGGACCUCUGAGGAGAUACGAAAAGAACUCCUCAGGUUGCAAGGAAGAUGGAAGAAGCAAAAGCAUAUGAGUGAACCAUACCUAAAGUAUGCAGUAGAACAUACUUUUUUAUGGAGGGCCGACAGCGACGACGAAGACGACAUUGAUACGUCUUCAAUGUGUCUAUAAUUUUUAUUGUUUUCUUAUAUAAUAUUAUCAUUUUAGGAUACUUUUUGAGUGUUUAUAUGCCAAUUAUUAUUAUUAUUGACCACAAACCUAUUAGCCCAGUGCCAAUGCCACUUAGUGUUUUCUAUGUGUUUUUGGCCUUUUAGGUUUAUAGUACCAAAUGAAUUAUGAUUGCCCCAAAACUUUUUUAGAUUAUUUGGACCAAAAGAAGACCCACUAGUAUCGGAAGGAGACCAAACGCUGCACGAGGGAGGUAGCACACAAUAGGGCGCGCACAGGCGAUGGUCGCGCUGCGAUAUGUGCUCGCCCCCUGUUUGGCCCUGGCGCACCUCUUCGUCCUAUAAAUUCUCAAAUACCCCAAAAACCGUAGAGAGUGACCCGAAACACUUUUUCCGCCAUCACAAGUCUCUGUUUCGCCGUGAGGUCAUAUGGAGCCAUUUUCUGGUGCCUUACCGAAGGGGAUCGAUCACGGAGGACCUCUACAUCAACUUUGCUGCUCCCAUGGUGAUGUGUGUAGUUUACCACAGACCUACGGAUAUGUAGCUAGUACCUGAGCAUGAAGGAGCGGCAACGUUUGCACAGUUCACCGAAUUUCAUCAUCAAAUGCGUGGUUGAAAAACUCACAUUCAAUUACAACAUAUUUGGUUGAGCAUAUGUGUGCUUAUGUUAGCAAUCAGAUCGUAUCAGCUAUUUUAUUUGGCUUCUAAAAUGUGAGAUAUUUAUUUGGGUGUGAAACUAUGAUAUGUUUGUAUUUUGUUUGCAUGACGUAAACUUUUUGAUAUGUCAUAAAAUAAGUCAAAAUCGGCCACAAACCCGCCUCAAGAACGAAAAUACGUCUGUGUGUUGGGCGCACUGUCGAACCAAACGCUGAAGGAGAUAGACACGUUGAUCCAAGCGGAUAAAAAUGGAUAAAACAUGUGUUCAUUUGGGUUUGCGCGUAUGGAGUUGCACUAAGAGCAUCUACAGUCGGAUCCGUCAUACUCGUCUCAAAUGNCCGGGCAGGCCGCGAGGUCACUGACAGUCACAAAAAUGCGACCCAACAGGCCCCCUCGGAUGGGCCUCAAACAAUCGGGCUGACCGGCGUCCCUCAUAUCGAGCUCAAAUACGAGGCAUAUAUGGAGAGCUUGGGCACGCCCACCACGUCGACCUAACGGCAUGGCCCUACGCGGACUUGCCCGAAAACCCAAAGGUCCGACGGGCACCUCGACCGUCACUGCGGUGUGACCACCGCAUGGCGCCACUUCGGCACACCGCCCGAGGCCAUAGCCGGCUAUUUAUGCCAGCCGACGUCCCCUAGCCCUAGCAUAUUCUCCCCCACUCUUCGGCUUCAGUAUGGUCCGCCGUAGGAUCACCACCUACACUCAACUCACCCGGAGCGCUGGAUGCAGAUCGGGGCGAAGAUUCAGGUUCCGCCCACCGUCCGCAUCGUUGCGUAUCUCCCUUCGGACUCGUCGAAAAUAGAGGAGGAGUAGGAGGAGGAGGAGAUGUUGUAGGCCAUGGAGGUGGACGAGCCGGAGGAGGAGGACGACCCGAAUAUCCAUGCUUUGGCCUUGAACAUGGUAAAGGUGGGUUUGCCGUCGCCCAAGCCGAGGAGAUGACGGAGUAGCAGGCCAUCCUGGAUUCGAUCCAGGAUGAGGCCGAGGUGAAGGCCAACCGCCGGAUCAUCCGGCAGAGGCGGGCGGAGCCCGACGCCAUGUACAACGAGCUCGAGGUGGACAUAGCGGCGGAGGAAUCCGCAACGGAGCAGACGGAGGGGGCCGGACGAGAGACGCCGGAGAUCGUCGAUAUCUCCGACGAAGAGUAAAUAGUUCCAUGUAGUACGUAGGUUUUAUAUGUUGCAUGCAUUUAUAUGGAUUUGAGAAAUCUAAUAUGAGAUGUCCUGAUGCAGUAGUCUGUUUUUGAGGUGUGCCCAAUCAAUGUCCACGGAUGGGUUCGAGCAUGUCUGCGUGCUUUUGAGAGACCGGAUUUACAAGUUGUAAGUGUAUAUGCUUUAAGGUUCUACCGAGGACAAAACCAUCAUGCAAGGUGGUCCCAAUAGACACCAUCAAGAGAUAUGGUGACAUUACGACAGUUACCGGUUCAUAAGUGACUAUCGAGGAAACAGUGGUUGUGUGGACAGGCCAAAUUCACUAUUUUUACCCUUUUGGCAUAGUUUAGCCUAAUCUAACCCCGUCUGUGAAUUUUUUUCCAACUUGACCCUUUUCCUACCCCAUCUGUUGUAGCGGUAGGCCUACACACCCUACCGUCACUUCAUGUGACGGUAGGGUUCGGGUCAACACAAACGGCGCCGUCUAACCUCGCUGACGUGGAUAAGUGGCUACCAUUACAGGGAGUGACGAUGGAGUAUGGUUUUCUACUGCCUCAAUGGGUGACGGUAGGAUGUGAAACAGUUAAUUCUUUUGUGACGGAAUUAACUAUCCGUACACCCGACCGCCAUCCACUAUGACGGUAGGCAUACACACCAUACCGCCACUCCUUAUGGUAGUGGCUACUUAUCCACGUCAUAAUAUGGCGAUAGGGUGCGUAUGCCUACCGCCACAUCAGAUGAUGAUAGGAAAAGGAUCCGAUAUUUUUUCCCAAAAGACGGGGUCAGAUCAAGCUAAACGAUACUAAAAGCGUCACAACAGUGAAAUCGUCGGCGUGGACACUCUUGAGCUCUUCAAGCAGUUAUAGCAGCUAGGGUCCGGUCGGGCCGGGUAGUCGACGCGCACCUUCACAUNNNNNNNNNNNNNNNNNNNNNNNNNNNNNNNNNNNNNNNNNNNNNNNNNNNNNNNNNNNNNNNNNNNNNNNNNNNNNNNNNNNNNNNNNNNNNNNNNNNNCAUCUGGCCUCAAUUAUAGCUCUGUCCAUAUUUAAUUGUACCCAAACUGUACUAUAAGCUUCGGCGUGCUCAGCUUCUUAUCUGGAAGCACGAGUGAAGAACCAAUUUUAAAUUCUUCAGCCUGUUGUUACUGUUCAAAUGCUAUUAGUAGGGCCUGGAAAGCAUAUUGCUCUGAAGCUUCCUGGAUGGGUAUUAUGCUCUGCUGGCUCCACACCUAUUGCUCAUUUGCCUAGUGCUUUCGGACUAGUUUUGGGUUGAAACCUAGUUUUAUCUUUCGCUUUUACUAGAGAAAGAAAAGGCAAAACAUGCACUGAAGAUUCAUCUACGGGUUUUAGGCGAGAAAAGAUACAGUACUUUUAACCAAUGAGGUUUGUUUAGUUGGUUUAGUACUAGGGUUGCUUUCGUCGUGAUGACUUUCCUUCAUCAAUUGAAUAAGUUAAGUACUUCUGCCAUCAUGAGUUAGGAUUUUCUUAUGGAUACUUAUGAAAAGAUUUGUAUCGUUAAGCCUUGUAUUCCGGUUCGUAGUUUUCAGAGGUCAUAUCGUUAUAAGCCUUGUUGUGCCCUUCAAAUUUGAGUUCAUUAGCUACUUCAUUUAGGUCAUAUCAAUUGAAAGAGAACUUCUCCACCACAAAAAAAAAAAAACUAGCAAAAAAUCCAGAAAUGCAACCGCCUCACCACAAUGCCGGUGCACAGUAAAAAUUCCCCAACCUAGCUUUUCCAGAAAAAUGCAACUGGGCAGCUACCGCCCAAUUAUCAAAAGCUCUGAAGCAAAACUCUACUACUAGCAUGCAUGCCUGUUGCAGGCGGGUGAACACUGCACAGCAGAAAGAAGCGCCAUCACAUACCCCAAUGGCUCAUUGCUUUCUUUGUCCAUGUUGCAGGGGCCAAGUUUUCUUGGUAGCUGCAAGCAAGCAACAGUUCACCGUGGGUCAAAAAAAGACAUGCCCCUCUGCAGGCCCGGCCGCCCCAAAGCCAAGCCCCUACUCAAACAUUGGCUGCUCCUUUUCAUGCCCCUGUCAUCAUAAUCCCUUGUACCAAAAGCAAGUGAAUAACCUAUGACAACCACCAAGGCUGCCUGCUAAAGUCUGAAGAUGGUCUUUUUGCGUUCAAGUUCAUCCACCGUGCUGUGCUGUGCUGUGCUGGGCUUUCUCCAUGCGCUCUCGCUCCAGCUUUUGCCCACCGCCCUUUUCUGUUCUGGUCCCUCUCGGCUCUCGCUCGCUGCNNNNNNNNNNNNNNNNNNNNNNNNNNNNNNNNNNNNNNNNNNNNNNNNNNNNNNNNNNNNNNNNNNNNNNNNNNNNNNNNNNNNNNNNNNNNNNNNNNNNUGGCAGUUGCGAACCGCGACCAAAGGCCCUUUUUCCACCAGUGCUACCACGCUUAAGCUUUCUUAUCUUACUCUUUCCACUAACGUUAGGACUUAGGCGAGCUGCUGAAUACGAGACACUUCUUUCUCGGCCCUGCGUGGUCUUCCCUCGGGGAUGGGAGAAUAUAGAAGGUGGGUGGGUGGAUCUCUAUUCUCCAUCAGGAUAGGGUUGAUUUGAUUGGCAUUCACGCCUUUUAGAAAGAGCCACUCAAUGCAAUUCUCUUUUAGGCGAAGAGAGUAUGCCCAACUGGAGUGGUUUCCGCCUAUAUUCCAACUAAUGUCAUCUCCAAGAUGGACAAAUCUUCUUAUCUGCGGAUCUAUUCCAUGCCGGAAUUCGACCUGCUAUUCAUGUGGGUAUUUCACUUUCCAGAGUAGGAUCAGCGGCUCAAAUGUGCCGCAAUGAAACAAGUAGCUGGCAAAUCAAAAUAGGAACUAGCUCAAUUCGCAGAGUGACAAGCCUAUUAUUCGCCUCUGCUCUCGAUAAAACUAGCCAGAAUCCAUUGUUUUUAUGACGGGAAUUGCUUAAACAAUCCCAAUCAAACCUUCUCCCAGUGGAAGAACAGAUAGCUACUAUAGCUACCGGAACGAUAGGAUAUCUUGAUUCGUUCGAAAUUGGACAGGUCAAGCUAUUUCUGGACUGGAUGAGUUACGUAAACACCUAAAAGAUACUCAUUCCAAGAAAUUCGAUCUUCUAGCCAGCUUCUAGCCAGGUGGAUAAGGAUGGAAUCUGGUAUCCAAGAAGAGGAUGUUGGACAUUCUUCAUCCCGGAGGGCCGGGGAGAGGAGAGAUAGCAUCACUCUGACUUUGCCAGAAGGAGGAAAAUCCAGAGUUGGCUUUGGGAGAAGAGAAGGAAGCUCUCAGGUUUAGUGAUUCAUACCUGUCCUGUCUUUUGUUUCCAGGGUUUCGAUUUCCGGUCCAGAGCUAGUCUACUUAUUUAUUUUAUACGGAAACGGAAUUUUGCAUAUUAUACGGAAUUUGUCAUACCAGGUUUUCCUAGAGUUGAGGAAUUCUAUCCAUUCCAGGAAAAGCACUGGUUUGAGAAACUACACUACAGGAAAGUACUAAGGAAUAGGAAGCUGCUACUUAUACUUAUGAUUCUUGUCCAAAGAUGCCAGGCCGAGACAGAAACCCAACUAGUGAAAUAGAACGGAUCUCUCUAAUAAACUGGGGUUCUUCUCUUCGGGUUGCUGGUAUCCUUAUAUGGAUCCGUCUUGUCUCCUCGGCUCGAUAAGCUAGCAAAGUCAGUUCGUUGGAUUGGUCUGUCCGGUCUGUCAGUCAGGAAAGCACGUCAAGUCGGUUAAUAGCUCUGGUCCGGUUUCUAACUCGGUGAAUUGGUAUGGUCUGGAGGCCCGGCAAUAACAAUAGCAGACAGGUCAGUUGUUCAAGUCCGUCUGGUUGAUAGGUCAGCUCGGUAUAGAAUCUUGUCUGGUUUCUGAAGUCGGUAAAGUCCAAUCAGUAGAGUGCCAGUUAAGUUCCUCAAGUAAGGAUCUUUGAUUCCUCCAAUUCGGUAGGUAAUCAUAAUAGUCUCGGCUCGGAAUGCGAAGAUGCUGCUAAUCUGUUAAAGGGAUCUAGAUCGCAUUUAUUUGAUAUGCGUCCCUUCUUCAACCCCGGAUGUGUACCUGACGCCAGGGAAUAACGUAGUUCUAAAGUAGUGACUCGUGUCUUGGAGGUCGUCCAUCCAAAUGUUCCUCUUUGCCAUUGCCCGCGUCUACUCCUAUAACCGAAUCGAUGGCCUAUAGCGCCAUGCCAUAAUGAAAUUCUUGAUCAUUUCUUUGUUCGUAACAUGGCGUAGUGUAUCACUGGGUGCCACAAUCCCAUUCAAUUCUUGUCCAUUCAAUACCAUGGAUAUAUCGAUUUCUAUUUUCAGAAAGCUCCUAUUUCGAUUGAUAUCUCUAGCAAAUAUAUGCGUAGCGUAUGUCAAGAUAAAGUAAAUCAAUCCGUAUGACGGCAGGGAGCGGAGGCAGCUUCAACUCAAGUGAGGAGCAAGCUUACCUCGGGCGGGUAGAUUGAUCGGCUCCUUCAUAUCUCGGGAUUUCGCUUAGGCCACCCAGGCCAUACCAUAGAAAAAAGAUCUGGUUUCCUUUCCCUCAUCAACCUGCCGCUGCCGUUCUUUUAUUUCACGAAAGAAUCUUUCCGUCCGUAUUGAGCAACUCAAAUUCCUAGAAAGCCGUUGGUGCACCCACCCAGUGAGUAACUACUAAUGCAGUGAGUAACUACUAAUGUUACGAACAAAGAAACUUUCCAAAAGUGGACCCAACAAGCAAAGCAACGGAUUGAGCUGCACUGCCUUUCGGCGUUUUAGUUAGGCGCAUCCUCUUGCGGGAUGAAAAUCUGCCAUAGCACGCUCCGCGCCUUUGAAGGAACAUUUGCUCGAUGAUGGUCCUAUCCUACGCGGGCUUACUAACGAUGGCCAAGCACGCAGUCAUUCCCGUUCUAUUUGAUAGGGGAAGCAAGCUAGUCAAAGAAGAAGGAAGCAUGGGUAUAGGUAAGUCUAGACAUAUUGACACGGGCGUAUACUGAAAUAGGCAUAAGGCCGCUAACGCUAAGGAGACAGCACCGCUUCUUUGUUCGUAACUAGGACAUGUAUUGAUGCUAGAGGCAGACUCCUGGCACUUAUCACUCCUUAGAUGAAGCAAGACAAGAGUGAGUCCGCUAAGGGACAAGUAUGACUAAAAAAAUGAUGGCAGAUUUUUAUGGAAACGAUUAUAUUUGAGUAUAUUGUCUCAUUGGGUUUGUCAUUGUCGAUAGCUAUUCUUGUCGCCGUUAGGGCGAUGAUCCAUCACAUAAAUGCUAUUAAUGUUGAAACACAAGUAACUGAUAUAUCCAAAGAUGUUCUUAAAGAACAAAUCAUUUCUCAAUUGGAAAUACUCUAUAAAGUCUAUAGAGAUACUACUGAGGGUGUGCACUUACCGGCAGGAGUCAAUCUCCAAGAAGUAAGCACACAUCUAUUUUUUGUAGACGAGAGAGUGAACCUUCUAAACAGUAUCUACUGUGAUCUUAUUGCAAAGGGAACUGGAAGUGAAUACUUUGGCCAAGUUAUACAAUUUCUUCUGGGAUAGCUUGUUGUGGGGCUUUCCGAAGGGUCGUUCUGAGAGUGGUCUCUUUUCUUUAAGGUUGCAUAUAUUGUAGGAGAAGGGAGGGAUCCAGGCCAGGUCUAAAAAGUGCCGAGUUGGGUUUGGGACAAGAUCAGGAAAUAGUGCAUCUUAUAUAGUGGGUGCCAACUUGAUUGCUGCUGGGAUUGCUUGAUAGGAAACUUUGAUUGAUACGAGCAGAUGUGAAUGAAUUGAAAUAGUCAAUAGUGGUGAUAUGAUCCCGGUAUCUACACUCGGAUCUACUUCUGCUACCGAGACUGCUGCUACUGUAAAAGCAUCAGGAACGUGUCAAUUCACUGAAUAAAGUGCUCUUUCCAUUGAUUUAUGGAUGAAAUCAUGAAAAAGAGAAGGAACCACCGAUUCUGCAUCAAAAACAGGGGUUCUGGAGCCAGUUUCUCAAAUCGUAAGUAGAUCCAAUCCAGGGCAGUUGAUAAGUGAGGUUCUCCGGUCGAAUGCAAAUAAGCCAGAGCGUAUCUCUUGUUUCGAGGAAGAAACAAACAUCCUGGUCUCAAUAGAUCUUGAUUCUAUGCAUGCGUCAGACACAUCACGAGCCGGAACAAACGAGUGCUUUCAACUCACGAGCCGGAACAAACGAGUGCUUUCAACAAUAAGCAAUACCCGAGCUUCCUUCUACCAACCAGGAUUCCGAUACCAAUUCCAAUCUGGCACAGCACAAGGAAGUAGCGCACCAGAAGAACCAAUACGAGAACCCUUCCUUCCAGCCAGAAUCCGUCUUUCUUGUCCUUUGCAUUCGAGGAAUGGGAUCUGCCUUGUGGAAACAAAAGCUAUUUGUUCGAGUCAAGCAAGCGGACAGUCAGCUAAGAAUACUGGAAGAGAACUCUCUAGCCCUGCACUUAAACUAGACUAGAAAUCCAAAAAAACACUAGUUUUGGCCCAUAGCGAAAUAGAGUUUUUCUUCUCCGCGGACUCCCCAUGCUUGGCGCCAUAGGCUUUAGGACUUUUGGCACUAGGGAAUCAUACUUUGAUCAGAUCCGUGGACAGGCUCCCGAGGUCAAAUCGGAUUAUGGACUUUUCCAGCUAAGUGAAAACGCACUUCACUACUAGCAAAGAAGUCAGCUCAGGGCAGGGCCGGUGGUAAUCUCAGAUAGGAACUUGCCGGGAUCCUUCCAUACCUGCCAUCCACCACUAGUACUGAUCGUUUCCCAGAACGAGCCAUACCUUUUCCCAGAAUGAGAAUACGGCUGAGGACGAAUAGCGGCGCCUAGCUUUAGUUUCCACACGACACGAUGGAUCUAUCACUCUCUUUAGCCAGGCCAUUCUCUAGAGGAGAGUUCCGAGAAUGAAUUCCAAUCUGGUACCAAUCGUAGAAAUCGUAUUGUAGAGUUCUUCUCACGCCUAGCACAGCUACAAGAAUUCCUCGAAUGCAGAGACAAGACGGAGGAUAUCUGAUCCCGCGGAACAUCUGCUACCAACUACGGAUUACCUUGUUUCCAUGAAAUCCAUGUUUCUGGCACCUUGGCCCCCUCUACCUACGAAAUUCUGAUUCCUAUGGUUGAAGAAAGUACAGCGUUGUCAAUUCAACCUGAAAAAAGGGGAAUAAGUUGACAAAGUCAGCUUGAAUAUUACGGUAUGGAUCAAAGGAAGCUAUACCCGCCUUGAUUUCUAUCAAACUUAUUAGAUAGUAAAGCAGACAAGUCUGAAAUGGAAUGUUUGAUCGGUAUAUGUAGGGCUCUCAAAAGAGAAUCUAUUUCAGCAUAGUUGAUUUUCAGAAGCCAACUAGAACUUCGCAGCUGCCGUAUAGUUGAUUGUUCCCACCAGUUUCGUUCUCAUCUGGUCAGUUUCACGAAUGCAAGGAUUUACUACGACUCUCAGGUGUAAACCUUGGUCAUAUACAGCGGUGAACUAGCUAAAUAUAGCUAGAGGAGUAAUAUAGCUAAAUAUAGCUAUAGGGCAUUCCACAGAGGUGAAAUUCUCUCGGCAAAGCAGAACAAGAAGCAGCAGAAAGCAAAACUCGAUUAUCGAAUAUAUAAGGAAAGGGGCGACGGUUUGGCACCAGAUAUCCAGGGGUGUGGAAAGAGCAGCUGUGAAAAGCGGAAAAACCAUCAAAAAACGACGAUUGCUCGUGAAGGUUUCCACAGAAAGACCCCUUGGUUCUGGCAAAUAGAUCACAAUUACAGGUACCUGGGAGCAUACCGAUGGAAUGAACAAAAUACGAACAGUUAACAUAAUAUAGUCAUAGAUCUUAGGUUGUAACUUGAUCAUGAGCGAAUUUGUUAAUGUUGCACCCACGAAGUAUGGAAAGUGCCAAACAUUGGGAACUACCCGGGGAGGAGUUAGGAGCAGGAACAAGGAGAAGCGAGAACCACUUAAAUGGAGGAUUCUAUUGUAUUUCUGCCUUUGUUCCCCAUAGCAACUGGGGAUCGAAAAGCACCAAAUUUGAUGACUUAUUAAGGGAAAGACGAAGUAAGAGCAUGCUAUUGAAGUCUCGUAUGGUAGCUCUUUAACUUCCGGGGAUAUCUAAAUAUUGAACCAGUGAUUCAAAAGAAUGGCAAGUCAGCGGUUAUGUGUUGACUUCAGAAACAGGAAUCUUGCCACACCAAAGGACGAGUAUCCAAUGCCGAUAGCUGACCUACUGGUAGAUUCGGCAGCUUGUAUUGAGCCUCUUGGAUGCCCACUCAGGAUAUAACCAGGUGCCAAUCGCCGAAGAAGAUAUUAACAAGAAUUUAGAUGCCCUGGUCCAGUUGGUGCCUAUGAUUUGUCGAUCAAUUCCUCGGGUCAAGGGGCGCACCUAUGAUGUAUAAUCUUCACUACUAGUCAAUCCAGGGAAAUAUUCCUUCUGGCCUUUUAUAGAUGGAUACCUUUUUCUUAGAAAAAAUCCCCUUUCAGGUUUAAUGAUCAAGCAGCGGGGUACCGAUUAUCCUCUUUUUGCCGGAGGAAGCGAGGAAACAGAGCUAACGGAAUUUCAUUGUAAAGAAAAUGACUCAUAAGGAGGUCAGUCAUAAAAUCCUUAAACACUAGAUCAUGACUAUAUACCCGGAUCUCAUUCCUUGAAAGAUCCCAGGUCGCUUCGCUUAAUCAAAGAUAAGAAAUAUCAUAGCUGCUUACGAAUGCCAUCCAACGAGGUAGAACCACCUUCUAAUCCUUAUGGAGUUUAAGAACAACGUCCACUUGGAUUUUCUAUACUAGUUAGCCGCAGAAAAAGACGAAAGCGAGCCAAAACAUGUAAAUCAAAAAACAAAAGAAGGGAACAUCCACUGCUGAAAUACACUUGCAUCGUCGUUAAACAGGAACUCAAAAACGGCACUAUAGCAUUGGAAUUAUGGAAUUUGAAUGGAUUGAGUACAUCAAGAUGAAGAAAUUAACGUAAUAAGCGAUAUUCUCAAAAGAUUCGGUCAUGCCAGAAACCUUAGUGUGCAUGGCACUAAAAAAGGGUACAAAGAACCUGAGAUGCAAGUAAUGGCUGAAUAGCCGGGGAAACACUAAAUAAAGACAAGUGUCAUCCGGACUUACUUGAUUGAUUGAAUCGAGAGAUGGAAAUGCCAUUGAGAGAUUAGAAGGGAUAGAGAAAACGUCAGAUAGAGGUCGUGCUUCUGCUCAGUCCAAAAGAACAAUCUGAGUGAGGAUAAGGUGGUUUAUGUUAGGGUCCGAGAAAGCAACUUGACAUGCCAAUCCUAUCAAGAAUUCCACUCUUUCUGGUCAUGUCAGAAACCACCUCUUGGAAAGCAGAUCGAAAGCCAAUCGUUUCAGAAGAUGAUGACCCUCUUGUGCUCCUACGUUCCUGCUAGUUGGUGGAUGAAGAAUAGGAGAGAGCUUGCUUGAGUAGAAGAUAACCCGCGAGAAGGAUGUUUUGUAGCGCUUUCUCAUACAAAAGGAAAAGGCGUCACGACCGAUCGAUAAAGAAAAGAACCGCAGCGCUGUCGCCCACCCCGCUUUGGGCACGGGGAGGCGAGAACCACCGCUUUUAGGAAAGAAGCCUACAAUUUGAUUCUCGUCUCGUUUCACUUGCAUUUUCUUUCGUUCAAUCUCGUUCUGAGAGUGGAAUCGAACCACUCACUCCGUUUGGAUUUCGAGUCCAAAGGGCCCAGCCAGCGAAAGAGGAUUUACAGUCCCACGCAGCCUGCCAGAACCUUUUUCUUGCUUGAUUUUUAUACGAUUUUUUGAGCAACUAGCGCGAAAGCCGUUGCGCGUUAGCGCAUCCGUUUUCUUGCUUGAUUUUUAUACGAUUUUCUGAAGUGAUCUGUCCAACUAAGUAGAAAAGGACACUAGAGUGUGGCUACACGUGGUAUAGGGCUGCUCGUCCCGCCUGGUGUUGAGAAAUGACAUCCAAUCUUUCGGUACCUAGAAUAUAUUCUAGGUGGAUAAACUUAUUUUUGAUCAGCAUCAAUGGGAGAUCUGAUGUUUUAGAAUGACCUUCCCCCGAUCAGAGAAGGGGCUUGGUCUGGAACGGAUUGAGACGGAAAGCGGUAAUCAAUCGCCGCGUGGUGGAACGCUUGUUGGAGAAGGGUAAGCGCCUCCAUGUCGUAGGGGUGGGUAGGCCAAUAGAAGACUAGGGAACUUAGCCUAGCCACUCAGUUCUGCCCCGAGCCAAGUCUAUUUAGUGUCAGCGAACACAUACCACUAUCUAUAUAUAGGUUUUUCUUUUUCGUAGAGGUUGUCGCUUAGGUCCUUGGACCCUUCCUUCAUGAAGCUUGAGGAAGCACUCACUUUUCUAUCCACGGCAUUCUUGGUUCUGCACUUAGUCUUGAACCUGUGUUGGUUUGGGACGUCAAUCUCAUUCGUCAGCGGUGUGUGCCGCGUACUAUGAUUGCUUUCUUCUUGCUGUCAAAUCCCAGUCUAUCUUUCACUGAGCUUCCUUCGCUUGGAAUUCAAAGUCCAAAAAAAAGAAGAAAGCGUACUGUGAGGUAUGAAUGAUCAAAUGUCUACGGGUGUCAUUGAAUAUCAUGGGGUACGAACUUCUAAGGUCAUGGCGUAGGGUAUUGGAUAGGCUGGUCCGCUGGUCGAAGUCAUUGCAGGGUGUGCUACGGACAGCUAUUGUUCCAGGGCAUUUCCUUUCUCUCGUCAUCACGCUAACAUACACAAGGCUUGCCUUCACAGGGCCCCACCUUGACUUGCCAUCAUGGCUACACUCUUUUCAUCAAAGCAACUCUUCUUAAGAAGACCCCUUGGUCCCCACAACGAAGUUCCUCCAUAGAGAACCCAACUGCACAGCACCAUCGCAAAGGUUUCUUCGUAACUCGAUUAGUCUCACUCAAGAGAACUCAUCUACACGGAAGGUCUUUUAAGUGCCAGUUGUACCCGCACAGAAGUUCUGCGCCCUCAACUACACCAGGAUGCCCCCUGCAGUAGCAUCACAACUUUUCUCACCAUGGACAGCUCGCCAGUCUUCUUGCAUCAGCCACACCUAAUUACAAAUGACCUUGGCCUCUCCAUGCUCGUCAUUUACAUUUAAACUGCACACCCCCUUGUUGAGGUCUUACUCCAAAGGUACGGCCUCUAGCACAUGACCAUUCCUCACUCAAGUCAUCGACACCCUCGUCGAUGUAUGUGUUGAAAGAAGAAAUUCCACUAUCUCUCAAACGAAAUGAGGUUUUUGAACUCCUAUAUAACAGAGUUUCAUUGAUGCCAAAGGGGGUUUUCCUCAAACGAUUGGAACCAGAAUAAAAUAAAAAAAGAAUGAAAGAGUCAAUCUAUCUUAGUCAAGGCGCUCGCUCUGCCACAAAGGGAGGCACUGGCAAAAUCUAAAUAGAAAAGAAUAGUGUGGUUCAGCGUUGCUAUCCCUCGGUCUCCCCAAUCAAGGGCUUAUAGCAACCUCUAUCAACACAACUAUCCGAACACCUAUUGCUUGCUUUAGCUCCAACUACUGCUAGCUUUAGCUGCAACUAUCUUCCGACUCUCUACUUGUUCGUUGCCCGACGCGGCUCUGCCUCUGCCUGUUUUUGAGCUCAAUAAAAGAGAAAGUUUCAUGCCAGUAUGGGCGAAAACCAUCAAUUUUCACAUUCCCCUAAUAAAUGGGUGUUUUUGAGGUCCUUUUUCCGAUCAGUUUCAUGCCAGUAUGGGGUCAAAGUAUACAAAAAUCACAUUCUCCCCGUAGAACGCUGUUUUUAGAGCUCUCCUUUUUUGGAAACUUUCAUUGCGCAUAGUACGAAAACCAACAGAAAUCCCACUGGCAAAGGUGUUGUGCCGGUUGCCGACCAGGCGAUCGACCAGCUUCCGACCAGAAGCGUUGGUCCAGUGAGGUGAGCCACGACCAGAACAGAGCUGUUACAAAGGAAGCCCACUCCCUUAUGUUCUGAUGGGAAAUAGGACUAGGAUCUGUAAUAGUUGUAUCUGCUUUCCUUUGGUUUGCAUGGGCACGUGAUACAUUCCUAGCAUGACGUUGGAACAAGCAAGGACCCAGCGUGAUCCAGAGGGCAAGCCCAUCCCGGGUAACUUUGUAUCCUGACCCAAGCCGGAAGUUUGUCGAACUUGUAGUCUAGGACAUUGGUAGGGAUCCGCAUGGGCACGCUGAACAAUCCGAUGGCCACCCACAACACGAAACAUCGGCCCCGCUCGUAGCGCUUGCCGAUCAUCCCUAUCUCUACCGGGCCCAUAUUCCCCGCCUCGCUGAUACUUAUUCAUUUCUUUGAAUCGAUAAAGAUGGGUAUCCAUGCCUCUUAGUUCCGGGGAGAUACUGGUUAUGCCAGUGUGGACAAGUUCAAAUGGAGCAAACCCGCAAGAGCAUGGAGCAUAGGAUUUGAAUUAGCCCAGGAGGCGCGGGCGAGCAACUAAAGCCGACUUCCUUCCUCUGAUUGGAAUUGGUUGAAAGGAAACCGGAACUGGAAGAUUGACUCGGGGAAACAGGAAAUCCUUAAUGCCGUGGGAAAUCCAUUGAGUAUCCAAGGAAAAGGCAAGCUCAAGGUAUUCUCCCCAAUCUUUCCCUUUCGGUCAGACAACACUGGUCAAUAGGAUCGGGUGGGCUGGGCACAUAGCCGGAGAUAAGAAAUGGCAACAAGGCUCAACAGAGCAGAGAGACAAGAAUACCUAUAUAGAGACAUGAGAAAGAAUAAGCCAAGGACAAAACGAGAAUUCCGCAUCCGGUGAAAGCUGAAGUCACAUAGGGAAGGGAGUUUCUGCAGAUGGAGAAAAGGGAGAUAUCACACUGUGUGUGAUAGGUUAUUAGCUGGAGGAUUGAGAUUGGUAUAUGGCAUUCAGAUAGUCCUUCUGAACUAAAAUCAUGGAAAGACUAGGCUCACCAGGCAGGGAAAGCUAGAUAUAGCCUAAAAAACCUCCACUUACGGAUUCACAUACUGGUUGGUAUGUUCAUCAAGUUCUCGAUUACUACUUACGGUGCCCACUGACUCCCUUUAAUGGUACGCCAAGAUAUCGCUCAUAACGACUGCAAAGGCAUAUUUAUUAGCCAGCUGUGGGAUACUGCCCUAAAGCUGCUGUUCCGGUGAUUAGAUCAAAAUAGAGUUCUUUCUACAAGAGCAUCUCAAGUUGGUCAGGCGUCCCCAGGAGUGUUUCGAUAUCAGCAAGCACAUUCUAACUAUCUAUAAAUGGCAUUUCGAGGUGAGAGAGAGUUCCAGCAUAUUAGACAAAAGAGUGGGUAGACACAUGCGUUGAGGCAUUCCCUACAACAGGUGGAUAAAGCCGUUUCUAGGCCAUAGAAAAACAUAGCAUGUGACAUUUAUUUACAUAGGACCAAGCAUAAUCGUUUUAGAUAAGAAUCAAUCAGCAGGUGAAAGGCAAGCACUUCCUUCCCUGAAUCCUACUCUUGCCCUAAAAAAGUACUAACUAAAGCCAAAUCGAAUGAAAUAUGCCUCUCUACGCGAAUAAGCAGAAGUGAGCCCAAUAGAACAGAUCAGGAAAGAGUUUACUAAGCUAUCGCGCGCAGUAAAGAGAAUACCAUAUCUAGUUCCUGGCUAGCUCCCAUCUUCGAUGCAUGGAUCUGACUAACCGGAGAUCGGACUCGUGUGCUUGAAUCAAAAGAAAAUACCGGUAUUCUGUUCCAAAUUAGGCUUGUAAUUAGAGUUACCAAUGGUAAGGAUUGGCGUGGGUUUAGAGUGGGUAGCCCGCUCGCUAUCUAUGUCUUUCAUUCCCAUGGAUUGGAAAACAUCUUACUCGCCAUGGGGCGAAACUUCUCAUCGUCAGCCUAAGUGAUUGUUUCUGUAAGCUAGAGAGAAGUACCCUUGAUUGGGUGCUUCGAACGCCCUUCGGGAAGUGAAAGUGAAGGUUGAUCAAUAGCUUGAAUCAGGACGAUGCCGCUUAGAAAAGUCUUCUUUCUUCCUUUUCAUUGUGACUCAAAAGCCACAAACAAGGGUUACUAUUCAGGAGUGGAAUUGCAUUCUGUACAAUGGGCAUUUUCAUUUCUCUUUCUGUGCUAUGGCUAUGGUUGACUUCUGUCUCUCGACAUGUAGAGAAGCUGAUCAAAAGGAAAUAGUCUUCCAGAUGGCAAAUAUGUGAACCAUAAACCGUAGAUUUACCACCAAUUGUGACUCAGGGAGAUGAAAGGUAGAGAAUGGCUUAUUCGUAAAAGAAGGCUCCCAGCCAAAUAUAGAAUAGAAAGGAAGGGGCAUCCCCGUGAGAAAACCAGGUGGUGUUACUUUCCUGCUUCCACCUGAACCUGCUUGCAGGCCUUAUAGAAAAGUCUUGUAUAAGAUAACUAGCUUGACAACAGGAAUUCUCUAACUUACUUGUAGAUAACGAACUUGCUGAAGGAGGUUAAGAUAGUUUUCCGUUAAUGGGGAGAGAGAAAAAGAGUCCUCGCUUUCAUAAUCGGUAAUCAGAGUCCAGGCUUCCAAAAGCCAUAUUUUACGACAACCUAUGAACCGACUAACUCAACAGCUGGCCUUAGAGAAACUGUCCUAACUUAUCCAAAUAAAUAGCCAUGAUGAAAUACUCUUCCUUUCCCUGCGGCACUCGCUUGAAGGACUCGAAAGCUGACUAAUGCUGAUAGGAAAACAGAGCUUCCUUCAAACGCUGAUCGAUACCAUCCACCAGAAGAAAACGUGACCGCAACUACUUCCCGAAUCAACACCGUCUGGAGGCUUUGCAUCUGUAUUUGGAGCUGGGCAUGCAUCCAUUGAUUCUAGCACUUGGAGCUUUGAACGCUCGAAAGAGAAAUACAAUCUCCGCCCUACAAGUGGAUCGAUAGGUUCAUACAUCUUGUAGUCGGUGCAGUUCUGGGAAGGAAUGGGCUAGUAUGAGUUCUGGUUUAGUCAGUAGUUCACUUCUCCCUUCUUGUCCGCUCUUGCCCACCCCUUUCACUUUCUUUCCUAAAUGUGUGACUGAUACCAAUCCCUAUGUUGUACACUCUUCCACUAACUAGAGAGAACCAUGCCUGAAGUAGAAAGAACCAAUUACAAGUGUUCAUAGUGGUCUAAUAAAAUAAACCCUGACCGUGAAGGUUCCUAGUGUUGAUACCAGUUGUUGUAGAUAAUGGAAGGAAGCAACAAAACAGAGAGAGGAUCAAGUGUAAUCUUAACUACAUCUCAGCUCUUAUACAAAAGCUUAUGUUACAAUACAUGGUACCAGUCCAAUUUAUAGAAAAUAGCAAACCGACACAAAGUCAUUAUCGACUCAAGUAACAACUAUUUCGAUUUUGUUCACAGCUCAUUCCUAGCUAAGACAUAACGGCGGGUAGGCAAACAACUUGAUUCAGGUCUAGUUUUGUUUGGACUUGGGCUUAGAUGUAGUGGGUUCUUGGGCCACUGCUUUACCUUUAUCAACCUUAGAAGGAGCAUUAGUCUUUGACACAUCAAUCAACCCGGCGUAGGAGCAUGGGAUUUGGACACAUCAGCACCAAACCUGUUGUUGAAGUCGAGUAUGAGCUUCUAUUCUAUCCAAUCGAAAGAAGAAGCAAAGGCUUUUCUCCUUAUCUUUGCAUUUAAGUUCUCGAAAGGAGAAUCGGAGGCUUUACACCUAUCUUUUCUACUUGCUUUUCGUUUUCUAAAAACAAGAGAUCUAGGAAAUGAAAGGAAUUCAUUAUCGAUAAGCUGUGGGUAGAACAGCACAACGAUAGAAACAUGAGGAAAAUCGUCUUCAUCAAGAAGAUAUUUAGCAAUUUUUUCUAUUUUCUAGGCGGAAGAGAUAAAAUAAAUAUUGUUACUGGGCUAGGAUGUUCAUUUGGGAAGGAUCUCGGAUGAAGCUCCAGAGUUCUUGACCAGUGGAGUCAAGUGGAGAAGGCGUUACUUGAUAGGAAAGCAAAUUUUUUUUGCAGGAAUUGUUGUUGUUUCAGCGCGGUAACGAAGGAUGUCUUUCUACCUGCACUUGACCCCGGAAAAUUGUGGUGUUUUCUAUCUUAGAGGAUUAACCACGCCUUUAUGCAAAGGCGAUGCCGAAGAACAUAAGCGGUUGUUUAAAGCAGUGGCGGCGCAUCCGCCUCUAUCCAUCACCAGAGUCUUUCUAGGUUUGUUCAAUAUCAUUUAUAUGUCAUAUGUCAAGGGCUAAAUAUACGGUAGCCGAUUAUAUACUCCGCGUAGGGCGAAGUUUGUCCCAGUUGGUAGUUAUAUAUAGGUAUAGCUGGAGCCCUAGACAGUCUAGCCAUAUACCAUAUCAUGGGUUGUGGGCUACUCUGGAAGGAGUGGUGACCCAGCGCGAUAGGUUGCUUUUACUAUUACAAGACUGGCUUCCUGGUCAAGUCAGCCUCCUUGAGUUUGUCUUACGGACGGAGUGGGCUUUUCCCCAGGGGGUCUAGUUUUAAGGCAAGUAGGCCUAUUGAGAUGCAUAUAACUUUUCAUCUUAUCACCCCGCCUAGCGACUUUGCAAGCAUUAAAGGCUAGGCACCUAACAGCGGUUAUUCCUCCAACAGGUUAUUCUGGGUUACGCUAAACCUUCAAGCCUUUUACCAGCAGAUGAAUACUUAAUCUAUCCCCUCUGCGCACGGAAAGGGAAAGCUACUCUUCAAGAGUAUAUGCCGAAAAUCCUAUGUUUGGAGUGACCAUGAACACACUGCUUGAGACCCUUCUUUCGUGAGACAGUUGUGAUUCCGCUUUCAUGUUUUGGAUUGAGCUUUGUCACUCUUUCUAUGCCUCUUUCUUUUUCUUGGAGGACAACACACACGCGGCGCUAAGGUUCCCGUGGCAACUGAACUAGGAUUCGAAGCCAGGAUGAGCGGAUCUACCGCUCCAGGUCCUUUCCUAUUCUUAUACUAAUAUGUGUAAGUUCCUUGCGUUUAGAACUAGAACGUGAGGCAUAGUAAUGGCGCAUGUGUGAUAUUCUAUUGAUCCUGUUUAGGCUGCUUUAGGAAAGCACUCAAGCAGGAAUGGAUAAAAUGUCUUCUGCUGCAAUCCUAACUGCAAUGGCCCUCGCAGCUUUAGUGCAACAAGCCGAUCGAAAGCACUCAUCUUUAUCGACUAAAUGCUUUUUUGUCUCUUCCUCACUAAACGCCCGCUUCCUGGCUCCUCCCUCUUUGCCUAGCGGUUAAGUAGAUAGUAGGUCCCCCCCUGGCCCCGCAACCAAGAGUCACUCGUCGAAAGCUGACCAGGAAGACAAUAACUGCUAUUUCAAGAAAGCAUGGUUGGAGUUCUUCUAUUGACGAAGGGAAGAGGACGGUCUUACUUUUCAGAGAUACCUGACUUAUUAGUGGACUGGUCAUGUCAUAGCGGAAGGUCAGAGGUGGGAAACAAGGAAACAGAGGAAAUGCUUACUGGGACAUAGCCUUCGGUACGAGUUGAAGGGAAGAGGUUUGAUUGCUAAUAAAAUGAGUGGAAGAGCUGCUCGGUCAAAGGCAUUCUCUCAAGUAGCAAAGGCAAGACGGAAAAGCAGGAAUGAAGGUUGCUAGGUACCGCUCCGUGGUAACAUCUAUCGAUUCCGCUAUCGGGAAAGUCUGGCAAGGGGAAUAUCUGGCUGAGGAAUUAGAGGAACUUUGGUAGCACUCGGGGACGGAAUCAAUCAAAGAACUUAAGAAAUUGCCCAUACCGACAGCAGCUCCCGCUUUAGAAAAAACCCUAUCUCAUCAGGCAGGUAUACCUGACCCUUUUUUAGCUAGUUUCGGGAAAGCGGUAAGUUAAGUAAGUCAAGCCCUUCUAAGCGAAGAAUAGCGGAGAGAAAUGGUAACGUAAUAAGGGAAAGGGAGCUAGCUGCUUCCAUAUCGCCCCCAAAAAAGAACCAAAAAGUUCCAGAGGCAUCUUCCAUUCAUUUCGAUUUAGGUCUUUCUGCACCAUAUUUAGAUCUUCCCUUUCUACGAUCCGGAAUUCCCAGCAAAUCCUUGACUCCUCGAAUACGAUGGGAUUUCACACCUGGCGAAUCUUUCACUCUACCUCCUCUGACUAAGACUAUAGAAUGUUCCUGCGAAUUAUGACCUUCGCCUGGAAUGUGAGCAAAUAUAUCAUGUCGAUUGCUCAACCGUACUUUUGCUAUCUUACGUAGAGCUGAAUUAGGUUUUUUCGGUGUUCUCGUCGAAACACGCAGGCAUACUCCUUGCUUCUGGGGACAUUGAUCCGAAGCUCGAGUACGGUCCGUGCGCCGUUUUUCUUCUCUACCAUGACGAAUCAAUUGAUUUUUUGUAGGCAUCCCUCUUUCCUAUGUCCUUCCCCCCUUUGCCCUUUCAAAAGUGGUUACUCCCGAUCCGAAGCACCCCUUUUCCAUUCAUAGAGAGAUCCAAUCGUCAAAAUCAAUAAAAAGGCCAUCAUGGACCAAGAUCCAAACAGAUCAAUCUUGUUAGGAGGUACUGCCCAAGGAAAAGAAAAGGUGACUUCCGGAUCAGGGAUAAUAAAUAAAAUAGGAACCGGAUAAAAUCGUAUAUCGAAACGACUUCUGGCAUCACCGGAGGGAUCGGAACCACAUUCGUAGGCCGACAAUUUUUCUGGAUAGGUCGAACUAUUGGAAGCAAAUGGAAAAGGAACACCGAGUGGAAUCAAAGAAACUAGCGGACUGAUCACUAAAUAGAUACAAAUAGGUGCAAAUUCCGACAUCACCAAAGCCCACUUCGUUCUCUCGCUCUCCUCGCGGCGCUCCUUGCUCGCGGAGCGGCAUACCGAAAAAAAUACGCUCAGAUGUGGAUUCGAACCACUGAAGGAUUUCAAGGGCAAUGCCCCUUGCUCUUCCCACUGAAACAAGAAAAAAAGGAUUUGCAGUCCAGCAAGAAAACGGAUGCGCUAACGCGCAACGGCUUUCGCGCUAGUUGCUCAAUCCGUUGCUUGUUUUGCUCUAACCAGCUGAGCUACCAGAACCACUUGCCUAAAGUCUCUUUUCUUCAUCUAUGAGCAUCCUACCUGCAGUGGAGGAGCUUGCUCAAGAACCGAGAGCCGGCCAGGGACUGGACGGCCCUCGUNNNNNNNNNNNNNNNNNNNNNNNNNNNNNNNNNNNNNNNNNNNNNNNNNNNNNNNNNNNNNNNNNNNNNNNNNNNNNNNNNNNNNNNNNNNNNNNNNNNNAGUGCCAAAUAGUCAACGUCAUUGUGGAAAAUAAGAAAAAUGCACAAUAUUCAUCAUCUAUUUCUUAAUCAAUGGAAUGUGACACCAUGACACAUUUAGUCGCGCGCCCAAGUUGGAUCCGAGACCGUUAUAGACAUACUUUAGAACGUAGAUUCACUCAUUUUGCUUCGUAUAUACUCAUCUAAUGAAAUCUAUAAAAAAACUUAAGAACGUAGAUUCACUCAUUUUAGGAACGGAGGGAGUAUACUAAGUGAAUCAAGUAUCCAACGGUGCAUCAAGGUUAACGGCAAUCAAGAUUCAUAGUGCAAUUCUUCAAUCCUUCUUGCACUUGCACAUAGGUUAACGGCGCCGUACGUGGGCGAGAAGGCCGGCGGCGAGGGCGAGGGGCGACGGCGGGCGGCGUACGUGGCCGGGCAAGGGGUGACGGCGGGCGGCGAGGGCGGCGUCGAGGGCGAGGGGCGACGGCGGGCGGCGAGGGCGGCGUCGAGGGCGAGGGCGACGGCGGGCGGCGAGGGCGGCGUCGAGGGCGAGGAUCGGAGAAGACGAGAAUCGGAGAAGACGGCGGCAGGCCUUGUAUUUAUAACCCCCACCUUUAGUCGCGGUUGGGGAGGCGACCCGCGACUAAAGGUAACCUUUAGUCGCGGUUGGAUAAACCAACCGCGACUAAAGGGUUUUUUCGUUCCGGCGCGCAACGACCUUUAGUCGCGGUUGGUCUGGCCAACCGCGACUAAAGGUAUUUUUCAAAAUACUUUUCUUUUUCAAUAUCUUAAAAAUACAAAUAAUAUAUCAAAAAAUUCAGAAAAAUAAAACUAAUUCAAUUCAAUAUGUUAAAAACACAAAAAAUUAUAUCAAAAAAUUAAGAAAAAUAAAACUAAUUCAAUUCAAAAUGUUAAAAAUACAAAUAAUAUAUCAAAAAAUUCAGAAAAAUAACACUAAUUCAAUUCAAACGUCCUUAUCCCACCGACAGUUUUCUUAGAUGACACAAAAACCACAUUUAGUNNNNNNNNNNNNNNNNNNNNNNNNNNNNNNNNNNNNNNNNNNNNNNNNNNNNNNNNNNNNNNNNNNNNNNNNNNNNNNNNNNNNNNNNNNNNNNNNNNNNUCGGGAAGGUCUUCUUCGCUAUAGACGCCACCAAGAACAAGAAAGGGGCGCUCCGCUCCUAGUCACUAAGCAGCUAUUCUGUCCGACGGUGGACUCCAUCAAUCUGAGGUUCUUUCUCUCACGUAAUUUCGCCCGCCCGUUCUACUUCCGUGCCGGAGGAAAUGGGAUUCGAACCCAUGAUACAAUCUUCUUGUAUGUCGAUUUAGCAAACCAAUGCCUUAAGCCACUCAGCCAUACCUCCAAGUUGUUGAUCGGAAUUGGAUGUGCCGGGUUGGUUGCCCGAAGAUCCACUGCGUAAGCCGUAGCGCGCGUACUCUUCUUUACUGAGCGAGAAAGACUCUAUCCAGAUCUAUGGAUCUCCCCAGCGUCCAAGCGAGACCCCAUCCAAACCAAAUCCUCCACUCGUUGGGCGAGACCUUGCUUUCUAUGAACACCUCACCACUGAAUGAGAAACUUAGCCUCCGACCCGACCAAGAGAGAAGACAGGGUCAAGCCGACGCCGCCCUUCCUCACCUGCCUGAAUGGAAUGAAUAUCUCCUUCGUCUAGUCGAGAAGGGAAAAAGCCCGGCGGGGAACAGGACCGUGACUCUUCUAAACCAUUACAUGACGGAGAAGUCCAUUCUCGUCAUGAUCGAUCCACGUCCUACCAUAGUGCCCGGAGAACCUGCUUCUAGAAGAUUCUAUAGUGAUCCACUGGAAUCGGCCUCGGGUGACGCCUCCCUAGUCGUCGAAAGAUUUCAUCCCUCGCUCGGUCGUUAAGGUGGGGUGAAAACUGCAAUUAAUGCUCUAUCUCCGUCAUAGAAUAUGGGAUACUCACUUUCAAUGGCCUCGCAUCCCCAGAGCCUCAGACUGGCCUGCCCUUCCAAUCGGGGUUAUAACGGGUCCGGUAUCAGCAACACCAGCCAAUCGUGUUGGUACGGUGGGUUCCCCAUACCCACUAUUCGGAAAAAAAGCUUGCCAUAGCAGCUCAAACCUCCGAUCGGGAAAUGGGAGUUCUAACCGGUCCUAACCCCAAUUCCAAACAAAUUGAUUGGACCGAGGUUCGUGCAGGGAGAGAAUAGAAACUAAUAACGAUGGAGCAAGAAAACGGAUGCGCUAACGCGCAACGGCUUUCGCGCUAGUUGCUCAAUCCGUUGCUUGUUUGGUUCGAGGUUGAGCUCACCCGCCGCCCUACGUCAGUAGUCUUCCUAACUUCUAUUCCCUUUUUUUUGCUCUAAGGUAAGGUCCUUCAAGAACAGCAUUGCGGUCGCAACGGGGCUCUGGGUGAAUAUUGUCCGCCCGUAUGAGCCGGGCUGUGAAUAUUUAUAGGUCGGGGUCUUUACUGAAAAACCACAAUACUACACUACAACAAUUUGAAGAAAUCCGCAAGUGACUCUAAUUUGAAUUCACUAGUCGUGUUGAGUUUUUUUUUAUUUCAAUAUAACAAAUCUGCCAAUCCCGAUAUUCCCACAUUUCAUUCUGGUCCAGUGUCCAUUCCUGAAUGAAAGAAAUGAGCUUUUUUCUGCGCCCCUUCACUCACUUCUGAAUGACUCCUUUAGCACUCUCUUCACGAUUAAUUACGUAGGUUCGAAUCCUGCCUCUCCCACUUGUUGUAGACUUAAGAGAAGAGAAAGUAGGCGGAAGCCUAGGAGGGCCAAUCGAGCGAAGCUCUUUUUUUUUUGCCGUGCCGUGAAGUGCAAUUUUAUCGUAUGCGUUUUAGAGAGGUUGUCGAAAAAAGACGAUCUAUAGAGAUUCCCCAUCUAUAUCCAAUCGAGAAUAGAAGCGAGUCGCUUCCGGCGUCGGCUUGUAGUCUCUGCAGUCGGCACACGCACGCGCCCGUCAUCAUGCCUCCUUGGUUCGGGACGAAGCCAAGCGAGACAUACGAUAGACGAAGGAAGCGCCCACCCAGCAGGAGGGCUAAAACCUGUAGUUUUGAAGUUGCAAACUCCAGCUUCGAAGCUGGAGUGCUUUAGCCCUUUUUUAAGCAAGAAUCACCGUCUUGAGCGCCUUGCGCGCUCAAGAACAAGCAAGGGAUGAGCGCUUUGUUGCUAAAGCGGAUACGUUUUCUUGCUGGGGAAGGCUAGUUUGAUCGAGGAUUGGAGAGGAGGGAGAGGUGGAAUAAAAAGCUCGGGAUGGAUUUUGGAGUCUUUGUGCGAGCCGUAUGCGGUGAGAGUCGCACGUACGGUAAGGAGGGGGGUUCGCGUCUAUACGUGUAGUGUGGUGGUUGGGCCUACCCACCCUAUUUGUUCCAUGAUCUAUGGGUCUACUGGAGCUACCCACUUCGAUCAAUUAGCCAAGAUUUUGACCGGAUACGAAAUCACUGGUGCUCGAUCUAGUGGUAUUUUUAUGGGGAUUCUUUUUAUCGUUGUAGGAUCCCUAUUCAAGAUUACUGCAGUUCCUUUUCGGGCGGCUGUAGGACGGACGGCCCCCUAUAGGUAGUAGGGUAGGGUGGGUGGUACCGCUCAGAUAGCGGCCAAUCCUCCUAACUGCGCGCGGGCCGGGCUUAGAGCGCGUGAAACUCAUCACUACCUCGUAAGGGCGUUGAGACCAUAGCAUGUUACACAAAAGCGCCGCUUUCUCAGGAGUGUUGUCACACAGCUGCCCGACUAGAAGAGCUACUCGCUCUGUAGUGUUGUCACACAAGAUAAGCACGCCGCCCGCCUGCUGGCCGGGCGAAUCGAAGUUAUCUUCCGGUCAACUGUCCACCCAGUCAAGUGCAAAAAACACAGUGGAAUCACGCAACGCACGCUGCUGGUGUGCUUCCUGCCCACGAGGAAAGAAGAGCGACAAGGUUCAGAUUUGACUGUUUGCAGCAUGGGAGCUGAUUACCCAAAAAAUCCCUGGGAAAAAAGAAAAGAUAUCUCGGUAACGAAAACCAUAGGAGGCUGUAUUGGCGAGAUCCAAGGGUUCACAGCAGCCCAAAAGAAAAACCGCCUGGAAGUCCGAGGACCUUUAGUACCGUACCGAACCAGCAGCCUUCGCGCCAAGCGACGACCGCCCUUGUCCCUUUCCUUUUUCCAUUCAGCCUACUUCUUAGCUUUGUUCCGUCAGUCUAAGGCAAAGCUUAAGUGGUUUGCCUACCUUACCCACUUGAUGAAAGGGAACGAACUUCGUUUCCUUGGCGGCUUUAUGGAUGGAUUCAGUCAGAAAAAACUCCUUCCUUUUCAAAAAAGUGACGCUUUGCGUCUUCGCUUCCGAGGGUUAGGGUAUAGGCCGUUUCGAGCAAGCUUUCGCUUUUUCUCCCGGCUUUCUACAACUUUCGCUUUAGCUUCCAAAGGCGACCCAAUGACCUUUCCGGAAUUGGAAGUAUUCGUCGCCCUACCCUAAGAAAGAAGUCACUAUAAAACUGCUUGCCCUCCAGAAGUACCAAAGGUGCGCGGAGCCCGGUGAAAAUGAAUAUGUUUGCUACUGAAAGAAGCCUGCCUAUUGACUAAUAUUCGUCUUUAGAAUGAAAGUAGCUAUGAAGCCCAAUCUACUGUCGAUUCAAAAGGGGGCAUAGUCAUAUGGGUGGGGUGUUUGUGGGGAGCUGCCUUGGAUAUGAGGAAUUCCUCAAAUCUAAAAAAAAAGAACAAAGACAAAGUCCGUGACGAAGAUCUUUCUUUUCUAUCAAUAGAUAGGAAUGAGUGUUCGUUAUAGGGGAUAGGAUCCAUCUGCUCUCUCUCUCUCUAUUUUCUUUGNNNNNNNNNNCGGGUUAUUGUGGCGAGCUGCCUUGGAUAUGAGGAAUUCCUCAAAUCUAAAAAAAAUAACAAAGACAAAGUCCGUGACGAAGAUUUUUCUUUUCUAUCAAUAGAUAGGAAUGAGUGUUUGUUAUAGGGGAUAGGAUCCAUCUGCUCUCUCUCUCUCUAUUUUCUUUGAUGCAAUUUAGAGAGAAAGAGCAGUGCGAAUUAGAAAAAAAAGAGAAUCGGGAGAUGAUUCCAAAAUAGAUACAUAGACAUCUAAAGUAAAGGGAUGUAUAUAUUAUUCCUAUAUAUAUCAUCUAUCUAUGAAAAAAGUAAACAGAGUUCGUUUUUGGGUUCCCCGAAGCCCCGAAUGGAUUGGAUCGUUUCUGCUUCUGCCAACGAAAUGAAGGCCUCGCCCCUUCCGAAUGCUUCUCCGAUCCUGAAGUUCUCGCGAAGAGAAUAAGAUGCAGCUCCCCCUCCCUCUGUCUUUUUCCGCUUUGCUAAUCUUCCCCUCUAACGCGGGCCGGGCUUAGGCGGGCGCGGAGGAAGAAAGAAAGUCGAAGAGCGUCUUCUCCUUUGUCCUUUUUUCAGUGCAACACAGGAAAGCACCCUCUUUUUGUAAUCCCUGCAGCUUCCCAGAGGCUUGCUUUUUUUUUAUUGAACGCAUGGCGUAGCUAGGACCCCUCCAAUCAUGUUUGAGCCUAUGUUCACCCGGGGCCAAAAAAGGAGAAUUCCGGAAUGCCUGCCGACGUUCAGAUAAGGUGCAUAUCCCUUACCACUAAAGGAAAGGCUCGACGAAGGGGGGGAUAUUAGCUGGGUAAGGAAAACGCUUUCGGAGAUUGAGAUGUCGAUUUGUUUUUCAUCGAAAAGGAAGAAGGCCGAGGGGAUAGCAGCCUUCCUUCGGGCUUUGCCUGCCGACGUUCUAAUAAAGAAUUCCGGCUCGGCCCGGGAAAGCGCUGGCAACAACAUAAAGAAAGGGGUCCAUGUAGCUGCUGCGCCCGCCCACUGAGCAGCAGGUUCGGCAUCUACUACAAAAGAUAGAAUCCACUUCAGAUAACCACGUCUCUGCUAGGCAGCGUGUGGAAUGGCCGAGAGCGGACCAAAUGGAUAUAUAAUCCAAGCCGAGAGUGGAGUUACGUGAACAGCCGUCUGAUGGAAAACAACUUUCACGUUCGGUUCAGAGAGCACUUUUUUCGUUGAGAAUAAGUCCUUCCCUUUUGUGUGAAUUCCCCAGCGGCGAAUUAACAACUUGUGGGGCCCUAUCUAUUCAAUCUCUCGAGCCCCAAGAAAACCCCCCUCUCCCUCGGACUCAAUCUCUCUUUUGACUCUAUAUAUGUGGGCACCUGAUAUCUAUGAGGGUUCACCCACCCCGGUGACAGCAUUCCUUUCUAUUGCGCCUAAAAUCUCUAUUUCUGCAAAUAUGUCACGUGUUUCUAUUGUUGCUUCCUAUGGGGGUACAUUACAACAAAUCUUCUUUUUCUGCAGCAUUGCUUCUAUGAUCUUAGGAGCACUGGCCGCCAUGGCCCAAACGAAAGUCAAAAGACCUCUAGCUCAUAGUUCGAUUGGACAUGUAGGUUAUAUUCGUACUGGUUUCUCAUGUGGAACCAUAGAAGGAAUUCAAUCACUACUAAUUGGUAUAUUUAUUUAUGCAUCAAUGACGAUAGAUGCAUUCGCCAUAGUUCCAGCAUUACGGCAAACCCGUGUCAAAUAUAUAGCGGAUUUGGGCGCUCUAGCCAAAACGAAUCCUAUUUCGGCUAUGACCUUCUCCAUUACAAUGUUCUCAUACGCAGGAAUACCCCCGUUAGCCGGCUUUUGUAGCAAAUUCUAUUUGUUCUUCGCCGCUUUGGGUUGUGGGGCUUACUUCCUAGCCCCAGUGGGAGUAGUGACUAGCGUUAUAGGUCGUUGGGCGGCCGGAAGGUUGCCAUGAGUAAGGUUGGGAGACCGAAGGCAGUUUUCCGUGCACCGGACACGUAGCUUACCGAAUCAGUUGCAACACAGAUGGGAAUGCAUGCUACGAAAGACAGGGUCGAGUCUGAUACAUCAACCGUCGACUCCAUAUCCUUGUACGAGUCCACAAUCACUACACGAGAUGAACCUGGGUUUGGUGAAUGGAAGUUGGCCUUAGGUGUAAUAGGACUCCCAGUUACUGCGUGCGAUCGUAUACUGAGGUGCUCCCCGUUGGUUGUUGGAACGACGCGAGCCGGGCCGGGCCUCGAUUCCUUUGAAAAAGAUGAAGGGACAGAGGUGACUAAUUCCCCAUCUCAUUUGGGGCGGAAAACGAAUCGACAUCUCGAUGUGAUACAGCCCUUUCCAUUUUCGUUGGGAAAGAACGGCGAAGUCCAUCCGAACCCUCCAAUGAAGAAAUAAGAGGAGAGCAAAGCGCCAAUGGCGCGCGAAGCGCAUGCGGAAGGGGCACGGAGAAAUAAAGAAGUGUGGGGGAGAAGCAGCCGAGCUCAUUCCCUUCGCUUCCUGGGCCCAAAGCAGUGCUUUGUUUCCUGGCCAAAUCAAGGAUUUGGGGCUGAUUGCAAAAGAUAUCUGAAUAGAAAGAUAGAUCCAUCCAUCUAUCCAGAUAUCUAAAAAAGAAUCGAUUUCGAUUUCAUGAAACCUUUGAUUCAAAGAACUGCGCUUAGCCCCCCCGCUCAUGAAACGGCUCUGCUGCAAUGGAUGGCAGAGGGUCCGUAGUACCCGAAGCACUGGAGUGAUCCAGUAGCCGGGAAGGGGCCUAGAAGUGCCUACUACUACACCACACUACACUUGGCUCUACACAUUUACAGAGCUUACCCCUGUCCAGUGUCUGGCAGAACGUUGGGGGCUUCAAUCGUCGACUAGUUAUCCCCAUCUCAGCCGAGGCUAACGGAGCCUGACUUAUUCAGGGGAGAGAGUGGAGCCUAUCGAAGCACCCUUGAGAGUAAGAUCCUUGGCUCCUCUUCAUUCUCUACAGGGGUCUCUGCCCACAUGGAAGCGGGGCAGAGAUGGAUAAGAUCAAACACGGGAAUAAGAAGCAUUUGAAAUGCCUUUUUGAUCAUUUUGAUAGAGGGGGAUGGAUAAAGUGGGCAAAACAGACUCACAUUUUUCAAUCGAAAAGAUGGGUUCCUUUUUCGUCUCGACAAAGAUAGAAUCAUCUUGAAAACGCUCCUAACCCCUUCGUAGGGCCGUGUAUAGUAAGUGAUCCGAACCUGCCCGGAGCGAGCCCCCCUUAGAGGCAAGUGAAGUUGGUGAGCCGUAUGAUGGGCAACUAUCUCCUGCGGUUCGGAGAGGACUCAGCUGUUAGUUAGUACCCCCUUAGAAAUCAUAUUUUAUUAUAUACGCUUAGCGAAAAGAAUGUUUUUUGAUAGACCUAGGACAUGGAUUCUAUAUGAACGAAUGGAUCGUGACAAGUCGUUACUACUAGCAAUGACUUCCUCUUUCAUUACUUCAUCCUUUCCAUAUCCCUCUCCCUUGUUCGAUCUUACUCAUCAAAUGGCACUCAGUUCAUAUCUGUAAGUUCGUUCGAUCAUUGACAAGGUUCAAAGAAAGGGUGGGCCAUUCACCAUGAAGGCUAAAAGCGAGAUAGGCUUUACUGGACAUUUUCGCUUACAAAGGCGAAGACAAUUCCGCGUUUUUUCAGCCGAUUCUCCGAAAUUUAAGACAAUUAUCCUCACUCAAACUUCAAAAAGUCCUUUUGUCUUUUUCUGAUGUAAAUUCUGUCUGUCUCCUUUGUCCUUCCUAACGCUAGUCUAGUCUCCUUCGUUCCACUCGUCCUUGCUUUUUUUUCUUCUUCCUAUCGGUCCCAAGGUCAAAGAAAUAGGUUCAGUGGUUCGACCUCCCAAAGGUUAAAGAAAGACAUCGGUAUUAAGACCACUCCCUCCGGAUGAUGAUAUGUCCCAACCAUCUAUAGCCCAUGGUUCGUUACUCGGGAAUUCGGAGAGGUCAGAUGAGAUAGAUGGGUGUGUUCAAAAUGGAAUGAUCCCCUUUUCUCAUGUUUGCAUUUUUGUUGUCCACAAACAAAUAAAGAGUCCGAAAAGACGUACGCAUAACAGACUCGGUACCUAGGUCAAUGGGUUCAGUGGAGAAUUGCGUUACUGUAAUAGCGAAGGUAUCUAUGAAAUGCAGUACCAAGGUCAAUGAAAUUGAAAGGCACCUCUGACAACAGAAUCAAAAGGGAUUUGGCGGCUAUAGACGACUCAGAGGGGUUUUCAUAAAGAGAAGCUUUCGCGCAGUACACCUAUUUUUCUAUAGAAGUGAAUGGCCCCUUAGUUGGCUAGUCUGAUCAAUCGGCAGGCUCAGCCUCUACGUCGUAUUCUGAUAUAGAAAGAAAAGAACCGAACUCCUGGAGGGUGAAAGAAGAAUCUCAAGUUGAUACUCUGCCAAGGGAUCUGUCCACAACUGGUACUUCACAUGCCUUAGAAGUAGAUUUGAAUGAGAAUGAAUGAAAUGAGCAAACGUUACUAGGAAGGUGAACUCGCUAUCAAACUACUGCCUGCGCUAGGGGAAGCGCGAAAGAAAAACCAGUUUCAAGCAAGAUCUGAUACCCUUGAAGGACUCCCAGGAAUGAGAGAGCAAGUACAAGGACAAUCUUAUUUUCUAAGGAUAGGCGGUAUUCCAUAAUUAACAUAGUUCGGUUAGAGUGGAUUUGAAAAGCUACAGCAGAUCGAUAAGUUGCUAAUUUAGCUAAGUCAACUCCACUACGGAAUCUAGCUCUCCAUAAGAGGGUAUUCCCAAUGAGACAAGUAGUUUAUCGAAGGGACCCUCUGUCUGAAGAUUGUAGUCCAGAUUUCUCGGAAUAGAAUAAUUGAAUGAGCAGGUGCAGAUGGUCAAUCUCCAUCUUGAAGCCGAGUCUCUCUGUCUUCUUAUUUUAUAUAAAGAUAUAGAGAAUAACUCNNNNNNNNNNCCCCAAUGAGACAAGUAGUUUAUCGAAGGGAUCCUCUGUCUAAAUAUUGUAGUCCGGAUUUCUCGGAAUAGAAUAAUUGAAUGAGCAGGUGCAGAUCGACAAUCUCCAUCUUGAAGACGAGUCUCUCUGUCUUCUUAUUUUAUAUAAAGAUAUAGAGAAUAACUCGAUCGAUCGUAGAAUGAUUUCGUGAUCUGAUCUUCAUUUGGGCGGCUUUCGCUCAAUCCGUGGCUGUAGUGAUAAGGCAAAUCAAAGGGGUCAAAAAAGAAGAUAUAGAAUUGUAGCUAACAGGGUUCGCUCGCCCUCGCCUGUCACUAUAGCGUGUCAAGUUUCUCUCUUUCCAAUCGGGAUUUUUUAGGUGUGAAGUGAAGUUCACCAGAAACGCUAGCUAUAUGCUUAACACAGGGUAGGGGAAUGCUAUUUCUGUAAGAUUUGGGUAAUUUGUUUUGUAGAAGGACUCACUUGACCAACGCUUGCACUUGUUUGUGUUAAUGGAUCCAGCAAGACUCUAAUAUGAUUUCUAAGGAUUUGAAGAACGACGUGUACAUGUUUCAUUUCACCUAAUCCAUCAUUUGAGGAGUGGGUUUCGCGAUUGGGCUCAGAUAGGGGUAAAGAGGGGGAACGGAGGCAGAGUUGAUAAUUGUACGGUUUCCCACUAAGCGCGAGCAUAAAACUUGAUCCUUCCUCACCGUAACCAUGGUGUCAAGUUGAUUCGCACCGGAUAUCGAUACCUUCAGCCAAGACCCAUUCUUAAGUACAAGCCAGUGGUGGUGUCCGGUCGAAGGAAGUUAGUGCUAAGCACUAUUAAUAUCGUAUCGAACCUGAUGAGUAUUUUAGAGUAUCUUUGGACCCCAAAGAGUUGUAUAAGUAGUCAAGAAAUACUCCAUUUUGAGUUAUGGUUGUGCAACCGAUCGUACCCAUCUUUAGAACGUUAUUGCCCUUGCGGACAAGAAGAAUCGAUCUAUCAAAAAUAUGUUAUGUAAUGUAUUCAGUUGAGUUGAAUCCUGCGCAUGACCAAAAGAAAGGAAAGAUCCGUGUGUAUGAAAGCCGUCUGGACCCCAACUGGAACAGGAACGUUGUCUCUUGAUUUCUUCUUUGAAUUCAGGUAUCAAUUCAAUUAUGAUAUGAAGAAAAGAGAGAAAGAAUUAGUUCCACCAAAGGAACCCUAGUGAAAUGCCUUCCUGGCUAUCAAGCAUUUUGCAUUGCUCAAAGCCUAGAAUCUUGUAUCUGGGAACUGGGAAGAUGAUAGACGGUCAGCGGCUGUUGCCAAUAGUCCUGAAUCUGCAAAGCUACUGCAAACACAUGCAACACAGGCUACAAGAAUGAAGAAACCAUGAAACCAACCUAAAAUCACUGCCAGCACUUAGUUAGUUAAAGCCCAGGAACCACUUGUGUUACACCGGUGAAGCAGAAGCUCCGAAAGCUGUCCGAGGAGCCAGCCAUAGGUGGGUUCUUUACUGGCCAUAGGUAGGUCCCUUACUGCUGGAUCCUCUAAGCAGGGAAAGAUCGUAGCUAGUAUGAAUUGGAAGAACGAUCAUACCGAACCCAGGAUCCUGCAACUAUUCUUCCUUCGUUCAAGACUCGCUUUUCUCGCGGGUUGAAUGAGUGAGCCUUGGCCAUACAUACUGAGAUUCAACAGUCAACUUUGGAGUCCGUCCUAAAGCCCCACCAAUCUACAUAGGUGAUACCAGGGUAGGUACUUGAAAGACGAGAAUAGAACCCAUGCUGAUGUACCUUAGCUUUUCCGCUCUUCCAAUCCUAAACAAGAUCAUAAAUAAGAGUCCCAGGCCGCUUAACGUCCUCUUAGCACAUAUGAUAGGAGCUGGCAUACAGAAUUACAAGAAGUUGGUACUUUUUCCAAUCCUUUCUGAUUUCUCACCAGCAAAAUAGGAUCGAUCGCGAAAUCAAAGAAAUCUUUCACCUCACUUCUAAGAUGAGCUAGCGCUCGCAUCACCUUUCGAUAUCCUAUAUUUUUGAUAUUCAACAAGUAGCAUUUCCACGGCAUUCUUUAGAUGGAUUUCACUGCCCCUCAUCUACUCCUCAGCUGGGUAUCUAUUUCUCAAUACGGUGCUUUAGUGACGGAUUCUGGCAUCGCAUGGAUCUCUUAAUCAAAUAGGGUCUCCCGGAUAGGUCAAAAUGAAUGUGACACCCGUGAUAGGACCACUACUGAUUAAACUAAGCCCUUUAAGGAAGGCGUACGGCAAACACUUGGACUGAAGCAUGAGCUGGUUCAAACCACUAUACCUGAUAUAUCACGAAAUCUAUACUGGAUUUUCAGCGCUGCGCUCAAGGUCAGGAAGAAGAAGAAGUGUGUGAGAUUGUAAUAAGUGUGAUUGGAGAAGCUUUUAAAGAAGUGGAGGAAGUAGAAUGGAUAAAUUCUAUCAAUUUCUAGCUCUCAUAGCUGAAUGAAGAAAUAGAUAAUGGGAUGCAUUAAUAGUUUCAUCCAAUUCCUAGCAAGUCAAGUACAUAAUAGUAUAAUUGAGUAUUUAGAAAAGCCUGUCUAAGACGAGUCGGUGUUGUAUGCUGAGUGUGGUUUCUUCCUGUUUCCGGAGUAGCCUCUAUAUAUUGAGUUUAUAGGAUGGAGUCCAUAUCCCUCCUUUUUACUUCAUGGAUCUUGUCAGCAUACAGGAUACUGUCGUAAAGAAAGCGGGUAUCUUAGAAUAUGGAUCAGCAGCGGAUACCAGAUUGGUAAAAACCUGCUCAAAAAGCAAGAGUUGAUGGUUUCGGGAAAGCUAAGCUAAAGCAAGCAGUAAACUAGUGGGUGCAAGCACGUUAAUGAAAAAAAACGUGAUAGAAAAUCCUACCGUUAGCAGCGACUGCGACACUUCGUAACAGCUCCUUAGAGAUCAAUGUCUUAUUGGUAUUUGCUCGAUUGCAGGCAAUAACGUUAGUAAAUUAGGUGAAUGUACGUAAAUCGAGGUACACGAGUCUAGCCAGGUAUAGGUAGAAAAGGGGUAUAGUAGGUCUCAUGGAAAGGGAGAUAGUGGGACGAAUAGUUCAUCGUGCAAGUGUUACGAAUAGAUAGGAGUCUCGACUCCGUCCUUCGAAAAGAAGAUGGUUCGCGCUAAGGGUGACUAAAGGCAGAGAAUUCUGUACGCCAAGAAGAAAAGAAAGUUUGUAGGGGUGAGAAUGAACUUUCAAACCCUUUUCUUGCCCCUAUCCUUUUUGCUUUCGAUAACUUCUAUCGCUUCCUAAUCAUAUGAGUCUAGUGCAACAUACUACUACUAAUAUGGAGUCAUAUUCUUCUUAAGCCUCCUUUCCCAGAUCCAAGUUCCGAAUCCCAGGGAGAGAUCAAGACAAUGCAGCAGGGUUGGCAAGCAUACCUGUAUCACUGAGCAAAUCCAAAGCAUACUUUCCCUCUAAAGAGUGAAGAAAAAGACUUGGUACAGCUAGAAUACCGAGUGGAUGUGGAAUCCUACUUGAAUUCCAGUCAGAAAAGGAAACUUGAAUCCGGAACUUGCUUACUUCGGCUUGAUCAGAUACUAGAAUCCAAUCAGGAACUUGGUUAUUGACCCACUAAUCUUUCCCUCUUUUGAGUCCAAGUCUCAAGAGGGCACUUAGGUCGGGCCCUUCUCCAGAGUAACGAUACUGGUAUCACUAUUUCAAUUAGUUGAUUGAUUUCCCUUAGAAUUUCAUUCCUNNNNNNNNNNCGAAUCCGGAACUUGCUUACUUCGGCUUGAUCAGAUACUGGAAUCCAAUCGGGGAACUUGGUUAUUGACCCACUAAUCUUUCCCUCUUUCGAGUCCAAGUCUCAAGAGGGCGCUUAGGCCGGGCCCUUCUCCAGAGUUCCGAUACCGAUAUCACUAUUUCAAUUAGUUGAUUGAUUUCCCUUAGAAUUUCAUUCCUCCUCAAGUCCCAGUUUCGGUCAAGUAGUGGCAAGUAUCAUCUGUAUCUGGCAGAUAAGCUUUCACAUGCAUGAAUUGAACUACCGAGAUCUUUUCUUACUUGGCAACUAGAGCCUCCCCUUCGGGAUUCGAGAUUGAAGAAGAGGAAAACAGCUUCUAAAGGGAACUGAUCCGAAGCAACAAGUCCUAGACCUAGAAUGCAGGUACCCUAGUCUUGAAAUAUGCCAUGAAGAAUGAAAUCUCUUGUUUUCAUUCAUAUCAUCAAAGUGCUGGAUCUGAACUAUUGAAAUUAGUGAAUUGGCGGAAAAGCAGGAAUGAAGGUUGGGACAGAAAGGGGAGAGGAGAGCCCGGACGAGGAAAACAAGCACCCCUUUUAGGAUUCUAGGAAACAAGCAAUACUUUCCCAUCUUGAACUGAACUGAACAGAGCACAGAGACUAGAAUCAGAACUGGAAUUCCCUUCUCUGAAUUCAAAAGCCCACCCGGACUUGGUUUGAGAAGUAGCUUGUUCAAUUUGUCCUCAGCAGAAGCGAAACCUGUUGCCAAGAGAUCGAAAUUCCAAUCAGAAAAUAAGUACUUUGAAUCAAGAAAUGACAUUGCGUAGAAGUGAAGUGAACUAGAGAAUUCUAGUCAGAAAAGCAAUCGGAUACUGAAAUCUCUUCUCUGAAAGCUAAAGCUUUACAGAUUAUAGGAAAGCAAGCACCACGAAGGGCAGUACCCAAACUAUAGGUUAUCUUGUGUCUGGGCAAGCAAGGUCAAGUAGUGGCAUCCUAUUACCCUAAAUGGAAAGCAAAGUAGGUUAUUCAGCCAUCCCUCGCGAACAAUCAGAAGUCCCAGUUUCCUUAACUAAUCUCGCCAAUUUAUCACUUGACCGACCCAGAGACUAAUCUAUCGUUGGCCCAGGCAAAGAGUGAGAAAAAGCAGCAAAAGGAGUAGCUUGCAGUGAGGAAUGAAAGCUGGUGUUUUACCACCAUUCAGCAAGAGAAACCCACUGGAACCUUUUCAUAGGACCAUAGAAAACAUGCUGCUUCCUGUAUAGAGAUGACUGCUUCUUUAAUGAAGUUGAUCGUCUAUCUCAAGUGGUGGUGAUCGACUCCACGAAUAGCCUGAACCUGAGAAAUGUAGAUCUGCAAACGGGAACUUCCUGUUGUCUCGAAUCAGGUCUGCUAUUUCUAUUCAUAACUCUCUGGUUGGAAUCGACCAAAAUAGCCCUUGACGGCAAUAAGAGGAUCCUAACCACUACACGGUUCGAAAUAUCAAUCGAAUGAUACCUCAAUUGAACCUGCUGAGUCAGUUAUUGGAAAGAUAUCACUAGCAGCCUCACAGCAAUCUUUAGGAAAAUGCAGACACAGUAGUUUUUUCGAAACUUGUUCAGACACCGCAAGCAACUACCAGUAUCGAUCUUCUAAAGAAAUGACCUUCGUUGCCGAAGUGAUAGACAAACAAUUCUAUAGCGGACUUGGACUAGCGACACAUUUCU
rnacentral:lncRNA from 1 species